GCGGGAUUAACCGAAAACACCGCCCCAAGGUACAACCGGAAUUUGACAGAGAUUCUUUCAACACCAAGUGAUUAAAAACAGUAGAGAAAGAAUGAAAGAAAAAGUAUCAAAAUAAAAGGAGUGAUAUAUUAAGAAAAUCCAUAUUUUUUUCCCUCUUUUUCUCUCACUGUGUACAUGUCAAAGAGGGGAUAAAGGUUGCACUUAUAUAAUGCAUUAAGGAACGUUGGACAAUGCUUUCUUUACCCACAUCUUGCACGAGUCUCACGCUUCCAUUUCGCACAAGAAGCGGAUCCAUUUCCGCUUGAGAAACGAAACAAAAAAUAAAAUAUAAUAUAAUAAUAUAAUAAAAAUAAAUAAAGAAAUUCAAAAUAAAAAUUUGGGUUUUCUCCAACAAAACUUACCACAGCAAGCCUCUCCUUGUGAAAAUCAUUUGUGAUCUGAAAACAAUUACCAAAAAACCCACCAAACAUUAGAUUAUUAGCGUCACUAUAUAAAGAACAAGAAAACAACACAAUGACUUCCCCUCAAACAUUUACCUGCUUCUUGUAGCAUUUGAUUUCAUCUCCACCAAAACCAGGUAGUGUCAUAUUCCAGUUUCUCUCUGCAAGCAAAAAACGUCAACGCUCGAAACCCUAUACGAAAAACUACAUAAAAGAGAAAUACUAAGGCCUGUUUUGGUAUUGUAGUCAUUUUUUUGUUUUCUUUAAUAGAAUUUCUUGUAAACUUAUGUGGGAAUGGACAGUGAGUCGCUAACAGUCCUUGUAACCAAGGUGUUGUUCUGAAACAAAAAAAACAAAAAAAAAAAAAACUUGGAAAAUCUGUUUUUUGGCUUCUUUGGGUAUUUUAAAGGAGAAGUUAGCGUCCCUCACCUAACAAAGGUGCAUUGCAAGCUAACCAACAAGACUAGAAAAAUUCAUCUACCGGCACAUCCAAUUACACAUUAUUUGUGUUAAAAAAAAACUUGCAACAAAACCAAACAAGGCCUAAGAUCGCAAUAAGCUAAAGGAAAACCAAAACCCCUUACCAACAUAUAGUAGUAUAUCUUUUACUUCUAACAUGUUUGACUUUCGAUGCUUUGCCAAGGAGCAAGCAAACAUUGUAGUCUGCUCAUAUAAAGAUAUAAAAAGAAACGUGAUAAGCACGAACUCAGUAACCAAAAGAAAAAAAAAAGAGAGAAAUGCAACAAAUGAUUGUGAUGCAAUUCAACCAAGUCCUAAGCGAGCUUUCGAAAUGAUUUCAUAUCAAGAUUCCCCUUUCAGGAUUUAUAUAUCAUCAAGACGUAUUCCACAUUUCACGGCCCUACACAAUAACAGAAAGCAGUUGUAUUUUCAAGUAUAGACAUGAAAACUUACAGAUUCAAUAAAAUCUUCAGCAAUCUCAAUAAGAACAUCUUCGACUUCAGCAUCUAACUUCUCCGACGGAUCAAUCUGCACAAUUACGAAGAAUCUGUGGAUAAGGUUGAAGAUAAUGUUGAUCAAUUCCACAAAUUAGGGCUGCCAAUUGGUCACAGAAGGUCAGGUCAUUCAAGUCAAUUCCACUAUGACAUCAAACCAGGACCGAUCCAAACCUGACUCAACUAAUCAACAAGUCGGGGUAAGCAUGUGGGGUAAACGAGACAGGCUAAAAUGAGAAUCUUAUCCCUUAAAACAUAGAAGAAUUCAUUAAAAAAAAAAGGUGGAAUCUCAGACAUCUUUAAGGACACUUCAUAGAAGUCUUCUUAUUCAAACAACUUGGUUGCUCUUACUAUCAAAAAACAAGAAGAGAGUCCAGUGAAGUUGGAAGAAAACAAGUCUAGACUCGAGACGCAAUGCAUGCGGCAAUGCAUGCUUACUAUCAUUAGAAGGGAAAGACUGAUAUAAGAAUUACAUCUUACAUAAAGAAUAUGAGUAUGUGAAAGAACAGUCAACGAAGCCUCAAAAUUCAAAGAACCAAAAGAGAGAGAGAAAAAAAAAGAAGAAAAGACCAGGCUAACAUGAAGAAGGUAGUGUAAAAACAGAUGAUCCUUUAUCACAAUAAUCUAAGUUUUCUUGUCGGACGAAUGACUUCUUGCUACAACAAAUUAGAUCAGAUUGAUGAUGAAAUGUCAAAACACAAAGGUAAAAAUUUAUGAAACCCUCUCAAUUGAUAUUUUUUUAUUUCAUUCAGUUGAAUUGGAAUUGAGUUAAAUUCAACAGCUGUUUCAUUAGAUUUAACAGCUUUACCUGCUUAUCAGCUGGCAGAACAGCAAGUUCUGUAACAAUAAUUAUCCAAAAGUUAACAGAACUGUUAAUUUAAUUAGGACUCCCUGUUCAAUCAAUUGACCUAACUUGAAUUAAAAAAAAAAAGAAAAAGAAAAAGAAAAAAGAAAACAAGUUGAUGGGGGUGAUCAAUCACACCAAAAAAAAAUAAUAAAGUGAGGACCGUCUAUCUAACAAUGGGCUACACUUGAAGGGUCUAAAUACAUAUUCACCAAAAUGUAAUUUGGAAACAUAAAAUUUAGAGAAAAGGAAAGCACCUGAGAAACCAAUUCACGGAUGCUUCUCUUGCUAAGAAUGUGAUUAUCAGAUUCUACAUCAUCUGUACUAACAGGAGUGACUGCCCCAGACUGCACAACCCCAGCUUGCGCCAGAGGAGCACUAGAUUUAUGGGCUGUUGAUCCAACAUUUCUCGCAGCCUGUUGUAGAGUUAGGGCUUGCUGGUUCCUAAGAGCUAGGUACUGUUGAUGCUCUUGUGACAACUGUGACCCUGCAGAUGUUAGCUGUUGCGGCUGUUGCAGCAAUUGCUGCUUUUGUUGGAGCUGCUGUUGCUGGAUCUGCUGCUGUUGAGAAGAUGAUAAGCUCUGUUGUUGUGGAGUUGUUGAAGGUGAUUGUAGGAGAUGGUACGGUCUCGGUUGUAGAACUUGUGGCCUUGGUUGGGGCCUAAGUGAAGAAGCAGAAGAAGAAGAAGAAGGCACGGAGGGUGCAUGCAUUAGCUUUCCCUGGCUUGAUACCAACGGCUGCUGCAUAUGUUGGCUUUGUGGAAAAGCUGAUGCAGAAAUAGGAGAAGGCAAUGAGGGGGCUUUUGAUAUACCAUGACUAGGGAAUUUCUGUAUAAAAUAGGAAAUUAAUAAGAUGAGAGCACAAAAUAAAGCAAUUUCGUAGAAAAAAAAAAAAAUUAUUCAGAAAACUCAUGCAAUGUUCUGCUGUAGCACUAAACCAAGCAGGAAAAGACACCACAUAGAAUUUAGAUGAUUUUCGUCAAAUUAACCAAUAUCAAUCUUUUGAGGCGGUGGUUACUUAUCACACCUUAAUGCAUUUCCUGGUAUCUUUGCAUGCGAUGUUAAUUACAGUUUGACUUAACUACAAUUAUAAGUUGUUUUCAGGUAACACAUGAGCAAUGCAACUUCCCAUGCAAACUGCAAAGUGGAAAAUAUUGAUGGAGACGAACUAAAACAAUCUAACUUUUUUCUCAUAGGAGAAGAAGAUUAGUUGGUUUACUUGUGAAGCUAACGCUUGACUAGCAGACGGAGAUGUUGAUCUUAUUGGGGCUUGAAUAAGUCUCUGUUGCUGGGGACCAGAAACAGCAGUCGGUCUCAUUGGAGCAGCAGAGCUAAGAGAACCAAUCAUACCAAUAUUUUGAAUACCUGGAGUAGAUUGUCUGACCUGAAAAACAAAGUUACAUCAAGUAAAGAGUAAAAUGAUACUAAAAUAUAUAAAGAUCCAAUUUCAAACCAUUUUAUGUACUUUUAAAGCAUUUGAUAUUGCAUUGGCACAGGAGACUUCGUCUUAAAUAAAGAUAUAGUAUGGAACCACACUCAACCUUAAAAAGCUAAAACGAACACGGAAAAAAAAGAAAAUCCCUACAAAAAUUUUCCUCCUUUUAAUAAAUGCUAACUAAAGCCAAUGCCAGAUCCAAGAUUGGAUGAAAUAAGUACGAGUUGGUUUCAGUUGGAUAAUUGACUAUUCGAUCAUAGAGAAUGGUUGCUCCAAAGUUAGAUAAUUCUAUCAUAUCACAAUAGUAUAGAGCUACAGAUUCAAAAAAAUUAAAGAUAUAGCUUAGCAACACGCCAAUUUUAUUUGAAUUGCUUUAUAACGCAUACAAAUCUUUUCAGACAAACAAAUCUUAUAAUAGUGGAUCAAGAAAAGAGGAGAUUUGACAUAAGAAUCCUGACUGUCUUGCAGUCAACAAUAUCAAAAUCCAACAUUAUCUUAUGAGUUUAGGAUACUUGGUAUUUCUUGAUCCCAUAUUUGCCAAAUUAAUAAGUCACUCGACUCAUUACUAACAAUGGCAUUUGUUUAUUCUCGCUUCUUUGCCCUACCUCCCCCGCAGAUAUUAGUAGAAAACCCAAUUAUUGAUCACUAGGCUCAAAUGAAAAGUAAGAGAUUUGAGCUGCUGAGCCUUACUUUCUCGCUGUUAAAAGCUUCUAAUCGUUGCUAUAGCUUAAGGUUUUCGAUUUAUUGGUAUGCCCUCGUCACAUAUAUGCUAAGAAAAUAAGUCACUAAUCUCAUCUACUAAGAAUAGCAAGCACACGUUCUCUCUUCUCGCUGCUCGAGCUUGCAAAAGAAUUUGCAGAAAGAAUUUGCAGAAAGCCCAAUUUGGUGAUCACCGGACUUGCAAUUUUCAUAUUAGAAAGUUCAGAGGAGAGCAAAUUAUGGUAAAGUGAGUUAAAUUAGAGAGGCAAAAGAUCAAGCAUCACCUGAGCAUUGGAGGUAGGCGAUUGCUCAGGCCCGCGAUUCAGGGAGCCAAACGGCUGGUUGAAGGAUGGCGAGGGGCCGAAGGAGGAGAAGGCCAUGGGAGGCUGCUGAGACCGCGGGAGGUGCGCUGGAACCCCGGUGGCGAGGCUGCCUCUUGGAACCGUCGAAGGGGUCGGCGAUGGCGAGGGCACUGAAGCAGAAGAAGAUGAUGACGGCGACGACGGGGAAGAAGCAGCAGCACUAAUAGUAGCAGCAGCAGCAGUAGUAGCAGUAAUAGUAUUAGAAGGGGCGGAAGAGGAGGAGGAGGAGAGAGAAGCGGAAGGGAAGUGGUGGGCGAAGUGGGGGAGCAACUGGGGGCGCAUUGGGGAAAGAGGCGGCCUCUGAGGGAGCUGGUGCAGGGUUUGGGGCGGGGUUUGGAUUUGGGGUUGGGGGACGCUCGGAGGGUCUUGGCUAGUAGUUUGGGAGGCAGAAGGGACGGCAGAGGAGGAGGGUGGAGAGGGCACGGGGGCCGACGAGGGCGGCGGCGGAGGUUGGAGUGGUGUAGGGUUUGGGGCCGGAGAGGUUUUUCACUUUGUUAAUUGGUUUAUCAAUUUAUCAACUUGAUGGAGUUGUCCUUUCGUUGAGGCACGUGUGGCGCACGUGACAAGACGGACGUCCCUGGAUUCGAAUUAUAGCCCACGUUUUGAACGGCCUAAUACGAGCUUUGGGAACAGGCCCGGCCCAGGAAACUCGGACCACACUGGCAUUCAAGCAGGACCUGGUCGCCAGCCUCUGCGGACCGGCGUUUUCCCCAAGCGAGGGGGUCCGCCUCAGCCCCCGCGCCACUAACCACUGCUAGUCGCUGCGAGAGUACUAAAACACCCCCGAUAGCCGCAUUAGGGCUUUUUUUGCAUUUAGACCCCUGGCAAAUUUUUAUUUUAAAAAUAGCUCUGUCAAAAUUUAAUUUGCAAAAAUAGUCCUGAAUCUGCCACGCAGGUACCACGUCAGUGCCACACGGGCAGGACCGGGCCGUGUGUUAAGGUGAACACGGUGAACCAUUCACCGUGUUCAAACACGGUAAAUGGUUCACCGUGUUUAGUAUGUAUUUUUUAUAUAUUGAAAAAAGGAAUAAGGAAUAGGAAUGUCAAUAGGUAUGGAUAUCCGAAAUAUUAUCCGAAUUCAAACCCGAAUAAAUUAUAUAUAUAUACGUAAUUUAUUUUUGUUUAUUUAUACAAUAUAUAAAAUAUUUAAUAAUUUUUAUUCCUUAGAUCUUCAUCCAACGGUAUAGAUUUUUAAAACCCGCUGGGUUGGAUGAAGAUCUAAGAAAUAAAAAUUAUUAAAUAUUUUAUAUAUUGUAUAAAUAAAUAAAAAUAAAUUUUAUAUAUAUAUAUAUAUAUAUAUAUAUAUAUAUAUAAUUUAUUCGGAUUUGGAUUCGGAUAAUAUUUCGGAUAUCCAUACCUAUUGACAUUCCAACUCCUUAUUCCAUUUUUCAAUAUACAAAAAAUACGUACUAAACACCCCUCUUUUCAAUAUAUAAAAAAUACGUACUAAACACGGUGAACCAUUCACCGUAUUUGAACACGGUGAACCAUUCACCGUGUUUAGACACGGUGAAUGAUUCACCGUGUUCAAACCUAAUACCCCGGCCCCAGCCCUGCUCGCGUGACGCUGACGUAGCGCCUGCGUGACAGGGACAGGGCCAUUUUUGCAAUUUUAAUUUUGAUAGGGCUAUUUUUAAAAUAAAAAUUGCUCAGGAGGCUAUUUGCAAAAAAAGCCCGCCACAUUAUAAUUCCAGCGCUUCGCUUCGCUCCGCAUUCUCCGAACCAUCGAAUUGGAUGAAAUUGCAAUCUUUUUUAACUGGCUGUAAUUAAAAAUUAAAACUAUACAAAAAAGGCUCAACUAUAAUAGUUGAAGCUAUGUCUAAAUUAGUCAUAAUUCUAACUACGGCAGUUGUACAGAUUAACUUAUAAAAAGUAAACUUAUCUUUCUAAUUAUUUUUUAAAUAUAAAAUAUGAAUCAACUAGGAUUCGAACUCGGGACCUUGGAUACUGUAAGGACUGAGAUUUUUUACUGUGCAACUAAACUCUCUGUUGACGAUGUUUAUGUGUGUAAUUUAAUUACAUAAGCACUCGUCAAGUUUCAGGAGANGUGGACUUCUGUUUAAACAUCGAAUGUAAAACUACGGUGUGAAUGGUGAAUGUAUGAAUGUAUAGCUAUCUGUAUAUUCAUUUGAUUGUGGUUGUAUACUGUUUGUACUUUUGUACUUGUGUGACGCCGUGCAAGUACAGGGGAGACUCUGUCCGUGUGAACAGUGGAUUCCCUGUAUUUGUGGCGGAUCUGGCAUACUCUGGGGUCAGGUUUUUUUUUAAAAAAAAUUCAAACGCUUUUCCACUGUGUUUCAAACAAAAAGGGGACCCCGGGGCGUGACAGAUACCAACCACCAAACCUUUUGCCACUUGCGCCAGGGACAAUCCGUGGGAAUCCCUUCAUACUACAUAUAAACUGAUAUAAAUACACUUCUCACCAACAUACAACGAAAUAAAUUAUUUAUAAUUACAGUAUUUUUUAUUAUUUCUUACCAAACAAAUUUAUAUAUAUUUAUAACUUCUGUGCUUUCAACUAUACCAUGUAUUUAUAAAAUUCUACCGGCCAAAUAUAUAAAUAUAUACAGAGAGAGAAAUAAAGAGUCUGUGUAGUGUUUCUGAGCUUUGGAUAGGACUGGCUUCAGUAUUAGUGACUGGUCGACACUUCUGGAGAGUGUUGGACUGAGUCGGAGUCGUUUCUGCGCGAAAUUGAUGCAGAAAUGGACUUAGCGCACUUAAAUAAGCAAAACUGAAGUUUUGCUAGUUUAGGGCGCCCAGAACUAGAUUUAGGGCGCCCAGAAGUUUAGGGCGCCCAGAAAUAGUUUAGGUCGUCCAGUACUGAGUGCUAAAUUUAACUAAAACUGGAAGCCAAUUCGGAUCCUGUGUUCCGGGCGCCCAGAAGUGGGUCCGAAAAUUCUACAUCGUGAAUAUCGAUCGUAUUGACGCGUGUCUGGUGGUAGAUGUGGGCCGCUGGAGCAGGAUAAGUGUGCAGCACACCACAGGCGGAGGAACUGAUGGGGGCUGUUUGUGCAGGCUAGAAGUUCUGGGCGCCCAGAACUUGGUUUUUCUGCAGAAACUGCAAGUUAAUUUCCAAUAUUCCUGAGGCUUAUCUUACCGUUGGAUUACCCUAUAAAUAGGUGGGAGAUGCCCCUGGUAAGCUCUUUUCCUCUCUUUCUCUCAGGGAAGCUUACAUUUGCAUUUCCAACCCUCAAAUUCCCUCAAAUUGCAUCCAAUCUUUCAAUCGAAAGGUGGUGGAGUACUGAUUCUGCAGUUCUUCAGAAAUGACCUCCAGUGUUUUGGCUCGUACGCGACGUAGGAAGGUCGGAUCGCGGUGAAACAUGGUUUGCUGGAUUCUAGACUUCUAGAGGAAUCCACGAAGCCCUGAAUUGUAGAUUUUGGUUGAGAUUAUCUUGGUCGAACGGAAGUUUUUCUAGACUAUUGUUGAUAUUGAGCUGAAAAUGAGAUUUUUGAGCUUUUCUUGAUGCUAUCUUUGUAGGCAGUGGGAUUUUGGACCUGAGACACAUUCUCCAUUAUUAUUCACUGGAUUUGAUACCUUCCUCACCUGAUUUGGAGGUAAUUAGGUGAGUUUUGACAUUAUGAUAGGGAUUAAAUUAAGCUUUAGUGCUGAAUUGGGAUAAUUGAUGGAAUUCAAUGUGUAGAGCUUGGAGAUAGCUUGAUUACUGGUCUUGGAGGAUUUUGGUUGAUCCAGCAGGGAUUAGCAUUGGUUCAGGACCUUCUUUGCUACCAGGAUUAGCAAUUAAGGUGGGUUACAUCGGUUUAUUCCUAAGCACAGUAUUAGUCGACAUGUAUGAUUUCCAGUUUUUGUAAAUCAUGUUGUAGCUCAAUUUCGUUGAUUGUAUCAUGGAUGAAAUCAAUAUUCAGAACAUGAUUAGUAAACCAUAAAUAUACAUGUUGGACUUGGAAUUUGACUUAGGAGAAAACCAGCAAUUUGGACCUGUCACCUGUUUACACUACCUGAUUUAGCUAUAGGAGCCGUUGUAAUUUUGUAUCGUCGCAAUAUCGAGGCGACGGGUACCCCAGGUAGUUUAGCUUUCAGUUACGCUCGUGCUGGGAUGCCGAGUGUAUUUUUACAGUAGCGUUCAGGUUAUUCCGGACUGUUGGGUGCCGUCGGGGUUGACAGUGGACCCAUAUCGCCUUUUUGGCGUUGGAUUGUACCGAGGGCACGUGAUCUGUUGGUUGUUAGACCAGUUAGAGUUGAUUUCUUGGACUUUGGCUUGAGAGAGUCUGAUUGAGCUCGACAGAGAUACGCUGCAUACUAGGUUGGGUAGCUCCCACGAGUGCCACUCCGGAGACGGGCGUUGUGCUUUCGCGUUGGUGUCGUUCAUGCCGGUUAGACUUGCUCUCCAUGGACUGGAUAGUGUGGAGGUAGCUGGAUAGUCUCAACUGGGCGGGAUGUGUGUGUUCACAGUCCCUGGGACGUGUAUGUUUACAAUCCUUAAAGAGAUUGGAUCAGGAUUGACAUUACUACAGUAGGUCAGCUUAGAGCAUGAUUGUGUAAUAAAUAGUAGCUGUAGAUUUCAUUCCAGCAUUUAUUACUACCUUUGCUCCCUUCUGUAGACUUAGUAGGUGGAUCGAUGUUGUUGAAGGCGGCACCCACUGAGGACUAUUUGUUUUACAGUAGUUCUCACGCCCUGUUAUUACCCUGUUUUUGCAAAGCCAUCGUCUUCGGCUGGUGCUGUUGCUGAUCAGGAUCGAGGCAAGGGCGUCGCGAGUUAGAGCCCUACCCGACGAGCCGAGCUAGAGGUGCCCAUACAGCAGGUAGUUGUUUUUGUUGGAGUUCAUGUACAUACAUAUAUUUAACUCGCCAGUGCGAGUAGUUUUGUAUCUUGGAUUUGGCGUAUAUAUAUGGAACUCGCUUUGUUUUUAUUACUGGUGCUUCUAGCAGCUCUAUACUAUUGUUUGUAGUAUUGUAUGAUUUACAGGUACAGCUAUCGCUUCGUAUACAGGAAAAAUUUCUUUGUAUACGGCGGAUUUGUCGGCGCGCCCGGGGAACGAGUAAUCCGGGGCGUGACAGAUUAAGUUGGUAUCAGAGCUUAGCAUUAGGUUGUUGGGACCUAGAAAACCUAAGUUUGGCAAACCUUAGGAAGGCAAGACGCGAGAGGCGUAAUGUAUUGCAAAAGUCAAUGAUUAAUUGUUCUAACUCCUCUUAGAGUGGGGUGAGUGAUUGAAGUAGUUCCUAUUUUGGCCUGAGAAAUUAUGUUGGCUGCAGACAACAUAAUUUUGGAGGAAAACAGGGGCCGCCUUCCAGACUUUCAUUGAUUGGGUCGAGAGUGUUUGUGUUUCAUCUAGCCCCGAUCUUUUCCUUUCAGCUAUGUAUCGUCGCUGAGGUCGACCGUCGUUACGGGAGCGUGCCAAGUUGUCGCAGGAUCGUGCGCGACCUUCCAAGAUGCCUAAGCAUGCGAAGCCGAGUGCCCGGCAGGAGCAGAGUGUUCGACCGGAGGCGAGUGCAUCCCUGGACUUGAGUGCACAGUUAGCCGCCCUAACAGAGGUGACGAGGCGGCAGGGGGAGUUGUUGAAGAGGAUGUGCGAGAGGCUAGCUUCGCCCCAGAGUUCAGCACCGAAGGCACCAGAGUCGUUUGUUCCACCUCCGACUACCCCAGCGACAGCACCAGCUGCAGCAGUCCCUCCGCCAGCAGCAGUUCCAGUAGCGCCAGUUGCGCCUACUAGGGGGCCAGUACCGUUGACAGAGGUCGAGCAGGAACGGUUGACAGAGAAGUUGGCUCGUUUCCGCCGCUUUGAUCCGCCGACCUUCGAUGGCAGUUGCACUGAGGCCUGAGUUGUUGAGGGCUGGGUCAGUGCGAUGGAGAAGCUAUUUGAGAAUCUGUUCAUUCCUGAGUGGGAGCAGGUAUCUUUGGGAGUCCAUUACUUGGGAGGUGAUGCCCACGCCUGGUGGAGGAGAGUGAGGAGAGAGCAGGGACUGGUAGCGUUGCAGCUGAGAUGGGAUGAGUUCUGUGGAAUGCUGUUUGGGAUGUUUUUUCCCAACAGUGUGAAACAGAAGGUCGAGAAGGAUUUGAAGAGGAUUUAGCAGGGGGAUCGUCCAGUGCAGGAGUACAUUCGAGAGUUUACUCGACUCCUAAACUGUGUACCAUUUGUGGUCAGGGACGAGGCACACAGGGUCUAUCUGUUUGAGCAGGGGCUUAGACCUGACAUCUUCAGGUUGGCGUGGGCGCAGAGGUCGAGGACCUUGGAUGCCUCCAUAGAGCAGGCCUUAUGGGUGGAGAGAGGUGAGGUGUCGCUGUAGGAGAGGACUCCGGCUGUGGGGCAGAGUCAGGACAGGAAGCGCCCCUUUUCAGAUGAUGCUGGACAGUCGAGCAGCAGGCGUCCGCCGAGGCCUCCACGAUCACGCUCUCAAGGUCGUGGGUCUUCGGGGCGUCAGCGUUUCAGGAGAUCCCGUCAGUAGGGCCAAACUCAGAGGACACCACAGUGUGUGAUCUGCAGGGGACCACACUGGCCCCGGUAGUGCGAGCAGAGAGAGGGCCGUUGCUACUCUUGCGGUCAGCCUGGGCAUAUGAGGUCAGCUUGUCCUCGUGCAGCAUCAACAACACCAUCCUUCGCAUCAGCGCAGCCGGCAUCCCAGCAGUCCUUUGGAGCAGCACCGAGUUUCCGCCAGGAGGACAGAUCGUCUGUGCUGCGUCAGGCUGAGCGGCGACAGCAGGCUCCGAAUGGCAGAGUUUAUGCAGCUCAGGUGGAAGAUUCUUCAGCAGCCGACAGAGUGGUUGCAGGUUUCAUUUUGAUUUCAGUCAUUCGUACUCGCACUCUUUUUGAUACCGGUGCCUCGCAUUCUUUCGUUAACCGAGCAUUUGUAUUGUUGCAUGGUCUAGAGUUAGGGUCAUUGUCACAGGCACGAGAGAUGCAGAUCCCCGACCAUGUUUUACAGGUUGCAGAGUGUUGUUAGUCAUUCCGGUGCAGUUAGAUUCUUGGAUCAUGCCCGCAGACCUGUUGGUGUUAGGGCAGCUACAGGACUUUGACGUAGUGCUCAGUAUGGAUUGGCUGACGCGGUACUACGCUACUAUUGACUGUGAAGCGAGGACUGUGACGUUCCGCAAGCCAGGCCAGGAGGAGUUCAUUUCUAGAGGAUGCAGGAGUACUUUGUUCGCCACUUGGAUAUCUUCGGUGAGGGCUCGACAGCUGAUGAGUAGAGGAUGCGUUGCUUUUCUGGCGAUUGUGACAGAGGUGCCUACGGCGGCGCCGGGACUCGAGGAUAUUCCUAUAGUCCGCGAGUUUCCGGAUGUGUUUCCCCCUGAGUUGAUUACGAUGCCGCCAGAGAGGGAGAUAGAGUUUGUGAUUGAUGUAGUUCCUGGAACUGCACCAAUCUCGAAGGCACCUUAUCGGAUGGCACCAGCAGAGCUGAGAGAGCUAAAGGCGCAGCUUCAGGAUUUGAUGGAUAAGGGGUAUGUGAGACCUAGUGUGUCGCCUUGGGGAGCGCCAGUGCUGUUUGUAAAGAGGAAGGAUGGUUCGCUCGGGUUGUGUGUUGAUUACCGGGAGCUGAAUAAGAUGACCAUCAAGAAUAAGUAUCCUUUGCCGCGCAUUGAUGAUCUGUUUGAUCAGCUGCAAGGAUCUUAUGUCUUCUCGAAGAUUGACCUCCAGUCAGGUUACCACGAGUUGAGGGUGAGGGCAGAGGAUGUUCCCAAGACGGCUUUUCGGACUCGGUACGGGCAUUAUGAGUUUAAGGUGAUGCCGUUUGGAUUGACGAACGUCCCUGCCGCAUUCAUGGAUUUGAUGAACAGAAUGUUUAAACCGUUCUUGGAUAGAUUUGUGGUAGUCUUUAUUGAUGAUAUUCUGAUAUACUCCUGGAGCGAUGCCGAGCAUGAGGAGCACUUGAGAACUGUGCUACAGCUUCUGCGAGAGAAGAAGUUGUAUGCCAAGUUAAAGAAGUGCGAAUUUUGGUUGCGGGAGGUUGCUUUCUUGGGCCACGUGAUAUCUGCGGUUGGAGUGGCAGUGGACCCGAAGAAGAUUGAUGCCAUUCGAGAUUGGCCCAGACCGACGACGGUGACAGAGGUGAGGAGUUUCCUUGGGCUUGCUGGUUAUUACCAUCGGUUUGUGGAAGGCUUUGCGAAGCUUUCCACACCACUCACUCGACUGACUCGUAAAGGAAUUAAGUUCAUUUAGAGUGAGGAUUGCCAGAGGAGCUUUGAUGAGUUGAGACGAAGGUUGACGUCAGCUCCUAUCCUUGCCCAUCCUGUGAUGGGGGAAGGAUUUGUGAUCUACAAUGAUGCAUCGCACAGCGGGCUGGGCUGUGUGCUGAUGCAGCAUGGUAGGGUAAUUGCUUAUGUUUCACGACAGUUAAAGGAUUAUAAGAAGAAUUAUCCUACGCAUGACUUGGAGCUUGCCGCGGUAGUCUUUGCUUUAAAAUUGUGGCGGCAUUACCUUUAUGACGAGCACUGCGAGGUUUUCACCGAUCAUAAAAGUCUUAAGUAUCUGUUCACCCAUAGAGAGUUGAACCUGAGGCAGCGCUGGUGGUUGGAGUUACUGAAGGACUAUGACAUUUGGUAUUCAGUAUCAUCCCGGCAAGGCAAAUGUGGUAGCAGAUGCGUUGAGCAGGAAGGCAGUGCAGAGCUUGAGCAUAUUGAUCACUCGGCAGAGAUCGUUACUUGAGGAGCUGCAGCGGCUUAGGCUCGAGAUAGUGUCCCCUGGAUCUACUUCGAGACUGAUGUCUAUGAUCUUGCAGCCCACUCUGUUGGAUAGGAUCCGAGAGCAACAGAGUGGAGACCCGCACUUGUCGAGGAUUCGAGAGCAGCUUAAGAAGGGACAGGCCGAGGGCUUUGUUGUGGACAGUUCGGGAGUAUUGCGGUACAGGGACCGACUGUGUGUACCUAUGGAUUUAGAGAUCCGACAGGACAUUUUGAGAGAGGCUCACUGUUCACCUUAUACGGUUCACCCCGGUGGAACCAAGAUAUAUAAGGAUUUAAAGGCUCAGUUUUGGCGGAAUGGAAUGAAGAGGGACAUUGGUAGAUUUGUGGCUCAGUGUCUGACUUGUCAACAGAUAAAGGCCGAGCAUCAGGUACCUACUGUCAAGCUUCAGAGUCUGCUAGUGCCCGAGUGGAAAUGGGAGCAGAUCACGAUGGACUUUGUCGUGGGGUUGUCUAGAGCCCAGGGUGGUUUCGAUGCUAUUUGGGUGAUAGUGGACAGACUGACUAAGUCUGCUCACUUUCUACCAGUUCAGACCACAUGGUCCAGGGAGAGGCUCGCUCAGCUAUAUCUGGAUGAGAUAGUGAGGUUGCAUGGCAUGCCCACUUCGAUAGUAUCAGAUCGAGACCCGAGGUUCGUCUCGUACUUUUGGAGGAGUCUUCAGAUGGCUUUGGGCACUCAGUUGCAGUUCAGCACAGCGUUUCACCUAUAGACAGAUGGUGAGUCAGAGCGGACCAUUCAGACUCUUGAGGACAUGCUGAGGGCAUGUGUCCUGGACUUUGGAGGAGGGUGGUAUCGAUAUUUGAGACUGGCUGAGUUUGCAUACAACAAUAGCUAUCAAGCAAGAAUCCAGAUGGCUCCGUUUGAGGCAUUGUAUGGACGCAGGUGUCGAUCCCCUUUGUUUUGGAGUGAUGUGGGUGAGAGAAAAACGCUUGGGCCUGAGAUUCUGAUUGAGGCUGAGGAAAAGGUGAAAGUGGUGCGACAGCACAUUUUAGGAGCCAGAGUCGGCAGAAGAACUAUGUUGAUACCGGGAGAUGAGACUUGGAGUUCCAGGUGGGAGAUCAUGUGUUUCUUAAAGUCUCGCCGUCCAUAGGGAUUCGCCGAUUUGGAGCACGUGGAAAGCUCACAUUUUGUAGGCUCUUUUGAGGUAUUGGAGCGAGUCGGGCCAGUUGCUUACAGGAUUGCUCUACCUCCACGACCAGCCGGCAUUCAUGAUGUUUUCCACGUCUCGGCUUUGAGGAGAUAUGUGUUCGACCCCUCCCACGUGAUUGACUUCACUCUACUUGAGAUUGGCGAGGACCUGAGUUACGAGGAGCGACCGGUGCGGAUUCUGGCUCGUGAGUCGAGGAAAUUGCGCAACUGGGUCAUACCCUUUGUAAAGGUGCAGUGGAGUAAUCACGAAGAGCGGGAGGAGACUUGGGAGCCGGAGACGGUGAUGAGAGAGUCCUACCCCUACCAUUUUGAGACUCAGGAUUGAGGUAUGUUUCAGUUUCGCGGACAAAACUUUUUAUAGUGGAUGAGGAUGUAGUGUUUCUGAGCUUUGGAUAGGAUUGGCUUCAGUAUUAGUGACUGGUCGACACUUCUGGAGAGUGUCGGACUGAGUCGGAGUUGUUUCUGCCCGAAAUGGAUGCAGAAAUGGAAUCGGCGCACUCAAAUAAGCAAAACUGGAGUUUUGCUAGUUUAGGGUACCCAGAACUAGAUUUAGGGCGCCCAGAAGUUUAGGGCACCCAGAAAUGGUUUAGGUCGCCCAGUACUGAGUGCUGAAUUUAACUGAACUGGAAGCCAAUUCAGAUCCUAUGUUCCGGGCGCCCAGAGUGGGUCCGGAAAUUCUACAUCGUGAAUAUCGAUCGUGUUGACGCGUGGCUGGUGGUAGGUGUGGGCCACAGGAGCAGGAUAAGGGUGCAGCACACCGUAGGCGGAGGAACCGAUGGGGGCUGUUUGUGCAGGCUGGAAGUUCUGGGCGCCCAGAACUUGGUUUAGGGCGCCCAAAACUUGGUUUUUUUGCAGAAACUACAGGUUAACUUCCAAUGUUCCUGAGGCUUAUCUGACCGUUGGAUUACCCUAUAAAUAGGUGAGAGAUGCCCCUGGUAAGCUCUUUUCCUCUCUUUCUCUCAGGGAAGCUUACAUUUGCAUUUCCAACCCUCAAAUUUUCUCAAAUUGCAUCCAAUCUUUCAAUCGAAAGGUGGUGGAGUGCUAAUUCUGCAGUUCUUCAGCGACGACCUCCAGUAUUUUGGCUCGUACGCAACGUAGGAAGGUAGGAUCGCGGUGAAACUUGGUUUGCCGGAUUUUAGACUUCUAGAGGAAUCCAUGAAGCGCUGAAUUACAGAUUUUGGUUGAGGUUAGCUUGGUCGAACGGAGGAUUUUUUGGACUGCUGUUGACAUUGAGCUGAAAAUGAGAUUUUUGAGCUUUUCUUGAUGCUAUCUUUAUAGGCAAUGGGAUUUUGGACCUGAGACACAUUCUCCAUUAUUAUUCACUGGAUUUGAGAUCUUCCUCACCUGAUUUGGAGGUAAUUAGGUGAGUUUUGAUAUUAUGAUAGGGAUUAAAUUAAGCUUUAGUGCUGAAAUUGGGAUAAUUGAUGGAAUUCAAUGUGUAGAGCUUGGAGAUAGCUUGAUUACUGGUCUUGGAGGAUUUUGGUUGAUCUAGCAGGGAUUAGCAUUAGUUCAGGACCUUCUUUGCUGCCAUGAUUAGCAAUUAAAGUGGGUUACAUCGGUUUAUUCCUAAGCACAGUAUUAGUCGACAUGUAUGAUUUCCAGUUUUUGUAAAUCAUGUUGUAGCUCAAUUUCGUUGACUGUAUCAUGGAUGAAAUCAGCAUUGAGGACAUGAUUAGUAAACCAUAAAUAUACAUGUUGGACUUGGAAUUUGACUUAGGAGAAAACCAACGAUUUGGACCUGUCACCUGUUUACACUACCUGAUUUAGCUCUAGGAGCCGUUGUAAUUUUGUUUCGUCGCAAUAUCGAGGCGACGGGUACCCCAGGUAGUUUAGCUUUCAGUUACGCUCGUGCUGGGAUGCCGAGUGUAUUUUUACAGUAGCGUUCAGGCUAUUCCGGACUAUUGGGUGCCGUCGGGGUUCACGGUGGACCCAUAUCGCCUUUUUGGCGUCGGAUUGUGCCGAGGGCACGUGGCCUGUUGAUUGUUAGACCAGUUAGAGUUGGUUACUUGGACUUUGGCUUGAGAGAGCCUAAUUGAGCUCGACAGAGAUACGCUGCAUACUCGGUUGGGUAGCUCCCACGAGUGCCACACCGGAGACGGGCGUUGUGCUUUCGCGUUGGUGUUGUUCAUGCCGGUUAGACUUGCUCUUCACGGACUGGAUAGUAUGGAGGUAGCUGGACAGUCUCAACUGGGCGGGAUGGGUGUGUUCACAGUCCCUGGGACGAGUAUGUUUACAAUCCCUAAAGAGAUUGGGUCAGGAUUGAUAUUACUACAGUAGGUCAGCUUAGAGCAUGGUAGUGUAAUAAAUAGUAGCUGUAGAUUUCAUUCCAGCAUUUAUUACUACAUUUGCUCCCUUCUGUAGACUUAGUGGGUGGACCGAUGUUGUUGAGGGCGGCACCCACUGAGGACUACUUGUUUUACAGUAGUUCUCACGCCCUGUUGUUAUUCCGUUUUUGUAGAGCCAUCGUUUUCGGCUGGUGCUAUUGCUUAUCAAGAUCGAGGCAAGGGCGUUGCGAGUUAGAGCCCUAUCCGACGAGCCGAGCUAGAGGUGCCCAUACAGCAGGUAGUUGUUUUUGUUAGAGUUCAUGUACAUACAUAUAUUUAACUUGCCAGUGCGAGUAGUUUUGUAUCUUGGAUUUGGCGUAUGUAUAUGGAACUCGCUUUGUUUUUAUUACUGGUUCUUCUAGCAGAUCUACACUACUGUUUGUAGUAUUGUAUGAUUUACAGGUACAGCUAUCGCUUCGUAUACAGGAAAAAUUCCUUUAUAUACGGUGGAUUUGUCAGCACACCCGGGGAACGAGUAAUCUGAGGCGUGACGGUCCGGUUAUGGUGUUUUUAAAAAUACCACACACUUGGUAUUGUAAGAAUUUAUUCAGCACAAAAUUAAAACUCAAAUUGCAGUGAAAAAUUAAUAUUGUAUUUUUCAAUUUUUGAAAAAAGCCAAAAUUCAUACCGUAAAUAAAAUCGAAAACAAAAUCAAUCCAGUACCGGUAGAUUAUUCUCAUAUUACAGUGUAAAAAUAAUCUAAAUUAGACAGAUAUAAAGUUCAUAUUACAUCACUUUAGACCAGUUAAGGUCUCUUGAUCUACUGUACGGUUGAAAUUGAAUAUGACGAACUGAAAUUCUAAUUAGCUGCGCACGUGCUUGACCUCUACGCAUUUCCACACGGAAUUGACGCAGAUCCGACGUCUUCCGCCACACAGAACAAAUGAGUCGUAGACUACAAAGACGGUGCUAGUAGUCCUCUGAUAUUUACGUUCCUUUUGAUGAGAUAUUCUGAUCUUCAUGAAAGAUAACAUAGAAAGAGAGCGACGAAUAAUCUAAGAGGCUAAAAAUUAAAAUUUCAUGGCCUUGGAAGACACAUGUUAGCUAAAGCAGUCAUAGAAGAUAAGACGUGUGGAAAGGUUGAAACUGAUUGGGAUGUUUUGAACAUGUGCAACGGAGACCAGUCAGUGCAUUAGUUAGAAAGAAUAUUUUUUAGUUAAAACAUAGAUUGUCUUAUAGGAGUGGGGGUCUGAAUCUAACAAUUGCUAAACAUAUAAUAAACUAAAAAAUUACUAUACCUCAUUGCACAAAAUAAUUUUCAAGUAUAGAGCUAAAUGAAAUAGCAAGAGCUAUAAACAUUGUAGCUGAUCUCCAAUAGUAGAGCUUGGAGAAAUUGCUACUGCUUGGCUUCCUUCUGCAUGCCUUUUUGAAUUCUUACCCUAAUUUAACUAGCUUUGGUCAGUAUUAUUUUUUAUUCUUAAUUAUUUUCUUAUUUGUACUUUAGCAGGAUUUUUAUUUUGUUUUUAUGUUGACAAAUAUAUGAAAGUGGAAGAUUUUUGCUAGAAAAUUGAGUUCAGAUUGGCUUGNCUUUAUGUUCUAGUGGUUUAGUCUCUUUCUCUUUCCUUUCUAUUUCCGCUUGUUGAUAGAACUUAGCUGCAUGCUUGCUCUGAUAUCGUUAGUUAUUGUUUAUUUUAUCUUUCAUAUCACUUUGUUGUAGACGCCUUAUAUGUGCAGGCAUAUGGCGGGUCUGGGCACGCACCGGGCAGGGCCUUUGCCGGGUCCCGGGGCGUGACACAAGGCACCCCCCCGGGUGCACACAAGACGUUUACCACAAAACAUUCAAUAGAGACAGUAAGGAAAUAUUCCUAACAUGAUAAUCAUAGCAUAAAUACUAAACUAUACAAUAAAUCACCAUUCACUAAAGGAAGUAAUAAGUUACUACAAUAAGGAAACAUCUAUCAUAAGACAUACAUCAAGUGCUAAUAAAAAGGUACAUCUCAAGAACAUGGUAGUCCCUGUACAAAAUGAUCUAAUACACCUUUCGAGACUAAAACAAAAAAAAAGUGUCCACCUAGGUAAGUAUCUCCAAAAGGGCUCUAGCUAAUCGCAACUCCCUUACCUCGAUCCCUAACCUCUUCCGCAGUGGAAGGCUCUAAAAAAAAAACAACAAAUAUAUGGGGGUGAGAACUAUUAAACAAUAGUUUCCAGCGGGUAAACCGCUGAAAAAAGCGAAUUACACCACUAGGUCAACUGAGGCAAAAGUAUAAAUAAUUACUAAUAAAGCAUAAAUAAAGUUAAGCAUUAAAAUUCAAAUCUACUAUACCUCUAAAUGAUUAUGUUAUUGAACAAGUAUGGAGUCUAUGCUAUUACAUGUACAAAUAUAUAAUGAAUACUCAAGUGUCAUGCAUUAGCUAGUUGUGAUGUCCAACAUUAAGGGCCUGUUUGGCCAAACUUCUGAAAAAGUGAUUUCUGAAAAAGUGAUUUUGGUUUGAAGAAAUGAUUUUUGUUAAAAGCUGUAGAGCGUUUGGCGGAGUUUAAAUAAAAGUGAUUUUUCUGAAGUGAUUUUGAAAAACUAUUUGGCAAAUUUUUUUUGAUGUUGGCAUAAAUUAAUAUUUUUAUUAAAUUUUAUUUUAAAAUAAUUUAAAAUCUAAAUUUAAAUUUGAAUUAAAAUGAAAAAUUUUAAAUUUCAAAAUUGUAAAAAAUUUAAAAUUUGAUAUUUUAAUUUUAAAAAAUAAUNNNNNNNNNNNNNNNNNNNNNNNNNNNNNNNNNNNNNNNNNNNNNNNNNNNNNNNNNNNNNNNNNNNNNNNNNNNNNNNNNNNNNNNNNNNNNNNNNNNNGGGACCGGUCCCCGAGAGCAAUUUUGCUCCAGUGCAGAUUUCGCACUAUUUGCUCUCGUGGACUCGUUUCCAAUGCACUUUUGGUGAUUUUAAUAUCUUUGGUCUUUCCAAAGUACACCAGCACGACCCUUGGUCGAUUCGGGAUGAAGUCAAAUCCUCGUAUUUCGAGAAUUCACUUCCUCACACUGCUAACUCACCUCAAGGAGUUGUAUGGUGAGCAAAGCCGAUCUACUCGUUUUGAAGUGUCCAAAAGACUCUUUAAAGUCAAGAUGCACAAUGGGCAGUCUGUUCAUGAUCACUGUUUGACAAUGAUCAAAGACCUCGAGGAGCUUGAGAAGCUUGGCAUGAAAAUGGACAAGAAAUUGCAAGUUGAUCUGAUCCUGCAAUCCCUUCCUGUAUCAUAUGGACAGUUUAUUGUAAACUACAAUAUAAAUAAAAUUGAUUGCACCAACGCAGAGUUAUUGAACAUGUUGAUAACUACAGACGGGACUUUGAAAGGUUCAAAGGGCUCGAUUCUCGCUGUGGAGCGAGCUUCCUCUUCCAAAAGAAAAUCUAAUUGGAAGAAAAAACCCGCGAAGAAACAAAAGACGGAAAACAAGCCCAAGAAGGAAGCUUCUAAGAAUAAGGCCGCUAGCAAAGGAAAAUGUUUCCACUGCAACNACGUUGACGGUCAUUGGAAGAGAAAUUGUCAUGUCUACCUGGAGAGCUUGAAGAAUAAAAGGAAGGACACACCUUCGGAAGGUAUGUCAGACUUGCUCGUAAUAGAAACUAACCUUACGGUUUCCUCUACUUCUAGUUGGGUUAUAGACUCUGGUUCUAGUUCUCAUCUAUGUACUUCAAUGCAAGGUCUAAGGGAAAGUAGAGGGCUCAGGGAAGGUGAAGUGACCCUACGGGUGAGCAACGGGGCAAGAGUUGCUGCUGUGGCUGCUUGGCACCUAUCUUUUGCGACUACCGUCAGGAUAUGUUUUAUUACUUAAAGACUAUUAUUAUGUACCUGCUACUAGCAGGAAUUUGAUUUCUGUUUCUUCUUUAGCACAGGACGGUUAUAAUUUUAAUUUUGACAAAGACUACUGCAUAAUUUAUUUUAGAAAUAAUAUUAUUGGUCGUGAUUUUAUGAUUGACAGUCUUUAUCAUUUACAUAUGGAUGUAUCUGUAAAUAUUUUCUGAGCAAGUAGAGACUGCUGUUGGGUCUAAGAGACCGAGAGAUGAGAUGAACCUAAAGUAUAUGUGGCACCUCAGGCUUGGUCAUAUUAGAGAAGAAAGGAUAAAUAAAUUGGAUAAAGAUGGGCUUCUCAGCUCAUUGACUUCAGAGUCUUAUUCAGUUUGUGAAUCUUGUCUUCAAAAAAAAUUGACUAAAUUACCCUUUGUAGGACAAGGGGAAAGGGUCACUGAGAUACUUUCCUUGAUAUACACUGAUGUGUGUGGGCCAUUUGAUGUGCAUGCUAGGGGUGGUUAUCUCUACUUCAUAACCUUUACCGAUGAUUAUUCACGGUAUGGAUAUGUGUAUCUUAUGAAACACAAAUCUGAGGCUUUUGAAAAGUUCAAAGAAUUCAGAUAUGAAGUAGAAAAACAAACUGAAAAAUCCAUCAAGGUUCUUCGAUCAGAUCGAGGAGGAGAAUACCUUAGUGGAGAGUUCCUAAAUUAUCUCAAAGAAAACGGCAUAGUCUCACAGUGGACUCCUCCGGGAACACCUCAACUCAACGGGGUGUCAGAACGGAGAAACCGAACCUUAUUGGAUAUGGUUCGAUCUAUGAUGAGCUUCACUGAUCUUCCUUUAUUUCUUUGGGGACAUACUUUGCUUACUGCAGCUUAUUUGUUAAAUAGGGUUCCCUCUAAAUCCGUUCCUACCACGCCGUAUGAGAUGUGGCAUGGUAAAAAACCAAGCCUUGGUCAUAUCAAGAUUUGGGGAUGUCCGGCCUAUGUUAAACGACUACAGGUGGACAAGUUAGAGGCUAGGUCUGAGAGGGCUUGUUUUAUUAGAUAUCCUAAAGAAACUUUAGGUUACUAUUUUUAUAUCCCAGAGAAUCACAAUAUAGUUGUGAGCAAAUGUGCUAUUUUCUUGGAAAAACAGUUUAUUCAAGAAGCUAGUGGGAGAAAAAUUGAACUCGAAGAGAGAGAGUCUCUGAAGAGCAACGAGUCAUCAAACCUACAGAACCUAUUCAAGCUGAGCCAGUACAUGUAGUACCUAUUCCACCUCGCAGGUCGAGUAGAAUCUCCCAUCCCACUAAACGAUACUUAGAUAUCGUUACAGAGGAAGUAGAGGAAAUGUUCCUAAUGGGAGAUAGGGUCUGACAUCGAUUCCGAGAAAUGGCUGGAUGCCAUGAAGUCAGAAAUUAACUGAAUGCAUUCCAACCAGGUUUGAAUUUUGGUAGACCCACCAGAAGGCAUAGUACCUAUCGGGUGUAAAUGGAUCUAAAAAAGAAAGAUAGGUUCGAAUGGAAAGGCUCUACCUAUAAAGCAAGGCUGGAUGCGAAAGGUUAUAGUCAACGUGAAGGCAUUGAUUAUCAGGAGACCUUUUCAUCUGUGGCCAUGCUUAAAUCCAUUCGAACACUGCUUGCCCUUGCAGCAUACUAUGAUUAUGAGAUCUGGCAAAUGGAUGUGAAAACUGCCUUCCUAAAUGGAUAUCUUGAGGAAGAUAUCUAUAUGGAGCAGCCUUUGGGUUUCACUUCCGGUGACGAAAGUCACAAAGUAUGCAAGUUGCAACGGUCCAUUUAUGGACUUAAGCAAGCAUCUCGGACUUGGAAUACUCGUUUCCAUAACGUGAUUAAAUCGUUUGAUUUCGUUAAGAAUGAUGAGGAACCAUGUGUUUAUAAGAAGGUCAGUAGGAGAGCUGUCACAUUCCUCGUAAUGUACGUGGAUGACAUUCUCCUAAUUGGGAAUGACAUUCCAAUGCUGACUUCAGUUAAAAUAUGGUUGUCUAAAGAAUUCUCCAUGAAAGAUCUAGGGGAAGCAUCCUAUAUUUUGAGGAUAAAGGUCUAUAGAGAUAGAUCUAAAAGGAUGCUGGCCUCUCACAGAAAAUGUAUAUAGAAGAGAUGCUGAAAAGGUUCGGCAUGGAAAACUCCAAAAGGAGACUUUUACCUCUUAGACAUGAAAUUUAUCUCUCUAAGAAAAUAUGCCCCAAUACAUUUGAAGAGAUUCAACGUAUGAGUAAGAUCCAUUUAUCUCAGAUCAGUUAUAGGGAGUUAUGUACGCAUGGCCUAUGUACACGACUGAUAUCGCGCCUUCCUGUGAGUGUCAAGUGAUAUUUUCAAUACUAAUCCAAAGAGUGUGAGAGCACUGGAUUGCUGUGAAGAAACAUACUCAGUACUUUGAGAGGACUGAAGAUAAUGUUUCUUGGUCUUUGAGGAGGAGGUGAAAGUACAAGAUAUUACUGAUUCAGACUUUAUGUCUGAUUGUGCACGAUAGAAGUCUACAGUCAGAAUGAUCGUGUGUUCUUAUGCAAUGUUGCCUCUGUUAUUGAAGAUUCCAAAACAACCAAUUUAUUGCUGACUCUAAUAUGGAAGCAUAGUUAUAUCGCCGCAUCUGAAGCCUGCAAGGAAUCCUUGGAUCUACAUGAAAUUUGUCGCCAGAAUUAGGUGUGAUGCCAUCGUUAUCCAUACCACUAUAUUGCGACAACAUGCGCCAUUAGCCCUAGCUAGGAGCCCAAGUUCUCAUCAGAGGUCCAAGUUAUAUAGAGCGGCUGUUUCAUAUUAUUUACGCGAUACUACCUCGAAGAAAUUCACAUCAGAGAUGCAGAAGGUAGACUCUAGGUAACGCUGCAGACAUUGACUAAACACUUUAGACGGCAGAGCACUGAGUCCUGGAGAUGGGGUUAGGUAUUUGGCUGAUUGGUUUUAUGCAAGUGGGGAGAUUGUUAGAUGUCAUGCCAGAAGCCACCAGAGCCGACACAUAUAUUCUUUCUAGGAUAUAAAUUUGUAUUUGACUUUUAAAUAUUAUGAAUAACUUUGGAUUUUUAUUUCCAUUCAUGUUGUGUAUGUGUUCAUGAAUCGUCCAAGGAAUUAAUAAGAUGAUGACAUAUAUUCUCAAGUGUUGAGAAUUUGAGACAUGUGUCAUUGGUGGUUAAUUUCUAAAUGCUCCCGAUCAAUGGAUCAUCACGGGGACGGUGAUUGAUCCGGUGAGAUUGGUGCAUAGGUCGCUUCCCUUUCUGGGUAGACGAGUCUCGAGUCGACAGUGUGGGGACACUGAAGCGAAUAUGCAGGUGGUUGUUGGAGAACAAGGGUACCGAGCGUGACCAAUGCGAGAAGUCACUUGGAUGUCUACUCACUUGUCAGUGACUUACUUAAUGUUGAAGUAGUGUGACUGGUCCUUUGACCUGCGGUGCCUCGGCUAUUCACAAUGAGGUUACUGUAGUUUGACUAUACAUACACUUAGUCCCUAGCCAUUCGGAUCCUUGUGGUACAUGUUGGCUGCCGUAGGUUCAUUGUAGGAAUAGGAUGCGUACUUAGAUGGAAUCUAUCUCCCUUGGUAGAUAGGGGUGUUAGUCCUAUGUGAUUUAUGAGACCGAGUUUAAAAGACCUUGGCCAGGGCAGAGUUAAUAGCGAAAAAAGGUUUCUGAUAUUAGAAACUCGAGUCGAAUAAAUUUAACAUAUGACAAACGAUGGGAUUUGACGAGUUAUUCCAUAACCUCCGUCUUGUCGGGACUCAUGAUAGAAGGAUUGUAUCACACGGUAACUGCACAAAGAGGUUCAGUAUUCCAUUCUACUGGAAUGCCAUUAAAUGCUGCUAGACAUCACUGGUGGAUUGUGAGACUCAUGAGAAUUAUCUAGAUGAUCAAUAAUUCUCAUUGGGCUGAGUUGGAAUUAUUCUGAUCCAUUGAAAGGAGUUUCAGUGAUAUUGUUGAUAGUGUUCAAAAUAUAUCUCACUACCAGAUAGAAUAGAACCUAUAGGGUCACACACAUGAGAGGUAGUGAUUGAUCGGAUAGCUAGAUCGCGAUUAUUGAAUCGUCGGAGGACCUAAUUAUCAAUAUGUUGAUAAUUGGACUAAUUUAUAAUUAUUACAAAUUAGUGGUAUUAAAGUGUAAAUGUUACAAGAGAGGACUUACUGAUAGUUAGUAAAUUAUAAGAGGACUUAUGUGCAAAUGUUGCAUUAUUAAUUUGAUAUGAUCAAAUUAAUAUAAAGAUCGAAUCAAAUUAGGAUUUGAUCGAUCUAACCAAUUAAGGAAAGGAUAAAUUUAAUCUAGAUUUAUACUUAUCCUUAAUUGUCAUUAUAUUAUUAGGAAUAGGAUUAUAUUCCUAUAUAUAACAUACGGGAGUUUUUAGAAAACCCUAGCCGUUAUCUCUCUUCUCCUCUCUCUUCCAUAUUCUAGCAAGAACGACGUCCUUUGCAAGGGAGCUAGCACCCCGGUGAGGAUAUCGAUCAAAUCUUCAACCUCGUGUGGAUACCUAUAGAGGCCGGACGCGUGUGCGGCUUCAAGAGAACCCAAUUCCACGAUCAUCAAGUUGAGGUGAAAAUCUAUCCACGAAAAAGGUAAAGAUUCGAUCUUGUUUUUCUUCUUUAAUCGUAAAACAUGAGGGAUCCUGAUUGCGUGGUUUUUGAGAUUGGAUAUCGAGAGUUUUCAAAAAUCAAAUUUAUUUGAUUCUUUUUCCGCUGCGUUUUUUACCGUACGCAAUUUUCUAACAAUUUCGAGUGCCUAGAAAAUGGAAUCGAGAGCACAAAAUUGUAGUGCUGAAUUGUUAGUGUCGUUUAUGCUAUUGGAGUCAUUUCGGGCCCUUAUUCGGGCGCGUAGUUGUGAGUUGAAAUUUGCUUGGUGGGGCUACUUCGUGAUUAUCAACUGUUGUUGACACGAGGCAAGCGGAAGUUUUGGAUUCGGGGGCAGGAUAAGAUUUUGGUCCCUUUGCGGUGAACCCUGUUGUGGAUUCGGACAGAAUUUUUGGCAGAUUCAGGCGCCUAGAAGUUGGAUUAGGGCCCCCGAAUUUCAAAAUUUCUGCAGUGAUAGGUAUAGAUUCUAAUUUUCUUUGGGCUCAUUUAACCCCACCUAUACCCCUAUAAAAGUGUGUGAACGUUCUCUAUUGAUGGGUAUAGAUUCUAAUUUUCUUUAGGCUCAUUUAACCCACCUAUACCCCUAUAAAAGUGUGUGAACGUUCUCUAUUGACUCAUUUUCCUUCUCCUUCUCCUUCACCUGAAAACUCAUUCUACAACAUAUUAAUCUCACAAAAGCCUUCCAAAUCCUCUCUUCUCCCUACGGGCUAUCUAGAAUAGCGAGAACAGCAACAACAACAGCAACAACAGCAACAACUUGGGGAUUUUGGCAGAUUUGAGACUUCUAAUUUUUGCUAUGGGCUUGAUUCGGGGAUUUGAUAUUAGAGGACAGCUUAUGUAACGACCCGACCUGUCAGUAAUAAUAACUCGUUGGGCUAAAAAACACUAGCCCAAAAUACUUAAGCCAGUUAUUCUUACUACGGUAGAGUCUUUUAUAUACCUAAUAACAACCCAAUUCCCAUCUGAUGUGGGACUAUUGGGAUGUCACAAACUUCCCCGUUUAGGCCCUGACGUCCUUGUUAGCCCUAAACACACACACAGCCCAAGAUCACCGGACAAUGUGAGACUUUUCUUGCUAGUCUUCUCAUUCUUACCCUCACUUAGCCUGUCAUUCACCGACCCUAACUUAGUCUGUCAUUCUGACCCUGGCUCAACCAUGACUCAUCUCACACUUCCGGCUGGUGAACCGGCUCUGAUACCAAAUGUAACAAUCCGACCCGCAAGCAAUAAUAACUUGUUGAAUCAAAACCACCGGCUCAAAAUACUUAAGCUCAAUUAUUCUUACUAGAGUGGAGCCUCUUAUAUACCCAAUGAUAACUCCAUUCUUAUCCGAUGUGGAACUAUUAGGGUGUCACAGCUUGUGGGUCACCUCCUUCCAUUUAAUUACAAAUUAAUUGGUUUGGAAUUGAAGUUAGAAUAGCUUGUGGAUCACCUUCUUCCAUUUAAUUACAAAUUAGUUGGUUUGGAAUUGAAGUUUCUAUGAGGUUUGAACUGGAAUUGGAUUUUAGUCAAAUUUUUUUUAAUUUCUGGAUCCAAUUCUUUGUAGCUGGAUUAUUGCUGGAUUUUAGUUGCUUUUUCCUUCACUCCUAGCAGAUUUAGAUCUAUUCCUACUGGAUUUACAAGUUAGUAACUGAAUUCUUGACCUCAACUGAAGUAAUUUGUGAGUUUAGUGCUGAAUUCUCAAAUUCAUGUUUUGGGCCUCCUUUUUUGGAUCCAAAUCUUGCAGCUGAGGCUUUAGGGAGGGUUUGAUCAGUUUUUCUUAUAAAUCUUGGAGUAUUGGAGUUGUCCAUAACUGGUCGUAAGGUAGAUUGAUCUAAAUUUAGUCAAAAUUCAGCUUUUGUUCUAAAUUCCAGCAAUUUGAUGUUUUGGUAUAUUGAACAAGACUAGCUCUUUCCUGCUAUGUGUGGAGCCUUCGUAAUUGAUUUUCCAACUGGGAUUGUACUGAGGAGAGCUGUUUUUGGUGGUCGAACCCCUACCUUGGCUGGAUUAGCACAAAAGAUGUGUUUAAUUUACCAAAAUCGACGAAUUCCUUACUAUGUAUACUAAAAUUUUGCAUGCAUGUUGUCUAUUUAUCUAAGUUAAUUGUUCUAACUUAGAAUCACUGGAAUAACAUGUGGAAUGCUGAAAUCUGGACUUAGAACAUGUUAAACCUAUAUAUAGUGAUUUUAGAUGCUGAAAUUAGAUUGAAACAUUAAUAAAAUCUGCAUUAAUCUACCCCUGAUGCACUAUCAUUAGUAUUUAAAUAUGGUACCUGUUUUUACCUUUUUUUCACUCUAGUUAGAGGGUGGUGAGUAUUUGGAUUACUGUAGGAUAACUUUACGCUCGUGUUGAGGGGCCGAGUGGAUAUUUAUGAUAGUGUUUAGUCCGAGUUGUUCAGUAGAGUGCCGUUGGGGUCAACGGUCGUCCCAGAUCUUGGAAUUUUGCAUUGGAUUGUGCUUGGGCACAUGGGUUACAAUUUUAUGAUCUGAUUGAUCAUUCGCAUCGACUAUAGCCUGCAUGAACCAAAUUUAAGCUUUAUAGAGACUACACUUUUUGCUCAGCUUAGUAGCUCUCCCGAGUGCCGUUCUGGAGUGAGGCUUUAUGCAGUGGUGUUACAGCAGCCCUUUUGGGCGACCUACUUGGGUCGGCCACCCCGUGGGUGGUGUCAUGGUCAUAGUAUAGAGCAAACUUGACCAAACCUGGUAGGCAUUCAUUUGGAUAUGAUUUGGAUAGUGAUUAUUCGAUAGUUAGUUGGUGCAUAGCCAAAGGAAACUUAUCCUGUUCCUCGAUAUGCGGAUCACGGAACAGCUUCUCCAUGUGGGCAAUCCAGUGCUCGACUGCCAACUCUCGUCAUUCUUUCCAGCAAAUUUCGGCGGGUCGAACUUUUGAAACUCUGCCAAUUUCGUCCUAAUGCGGGCACCCUCCGCUACAGGGGCAUCAAUACCCCCGGGAGCCUCCAAAGUCUAGAAAAAAUUUUCUAUUCAAGAAACAAAAGUUACAUGGUUGGCAGAUGAAAUGUCUAGAGCUACUAGUUGGAGUUUGAAGGAUGAAAUGUCUAGAGCUACCAGUUAAAGUUUGGUAGUUUUUCAAUCUUUUCCAUUAUCAAAUUCUGUACACCAUAAUAUAGAAAGCCUUAGCAUAUAGUUAAUAAACUAAUAACGGCUCUAUAAUUACAACUUUAAAAGAAAUUAGAUAAUUAAGAGACUAACAACACAAUUAUAGAACGUUACAGAGGGAGCAAGUGAUGAGAAUUUUUGCCCUCACCAAAAGGACACUUCAAAAGCACACAUUUUUGCGCUAACUUGAUGCAAUAAAAGCACCAAGUGUUUAUAGAUAUUCCUAUGAAGAAUGCAUAUAUAGAUGGAGGCAUUGACAAGUGUUUAUUGUGGAGACUUGAUAGCACCCUCACCAGCCAAGGCCCAGUCCAUCACCAGCCCAAAUAACAGCUCAAGUAAAAACCUUUAAUUCAUAAAAUUUCACUAAAACCAUCAUAUGGUCUUUAAUAAUAUGUGAUCCUUACCUUUCUUAAUGAGAUGUCAUAAUAAACGAAGUUGGGCUUCAACUGGAAUAGUAAAAUGAUGACAAGCUUUUUUAUUUUUUCUUUUUGAAUCCGUAUCGGAAAUUUGCUUUUCCGAUACGGAUAUAGAAACUGAUGCUGAGAGGAUGACAACAAAGAUGCUAAUUGAGUAAAAAUUUUGUAAAUGACCAAUUACAAAGAAGCAUAACAUCCUUUAGAUCCUUCAAAAUAUGGCACACGAAAAUUACUAUACUAUAUUUACGUUCCAAAUGGGCGAUUUACCAUGUUCUAAAACAAAGCUAGCUCAAAUCUACUACAAUGUUAAUUAAUCUGUAUUAGCUAUACCAUUUUUAAAUCUUGAGCAACAUCGAGAUGCUGUGAAAUAUUUAAGCUUGUGGACGAUAUAUUUCGAUCUAUAGGUGUUUUGCGAAACUAUUUAAUACCGCAUCAUAUCCCAUGCAUUUUCUGUCAACCACUCUUGUGGCUACUUAGCUAUGCUUGAUUAAAAUCCUUUAUAUCAGUGCCCACUGUCGUAUACAAAUCAGUGCCCAUUUUCAAAGGAAUCGCUUCUUUAUCUUUUUUUUUGUCCCCAGGGAAACUUACUUCUCAAGCUUAUUAUCCUUUACACUGCCAUAAACUGGAGUAGAAAUGCAGUUAAUGUUGACUCAUCCCCUUCUCUCAAAAUACUCAUUCAUCUUUAGCACACUUCACAUUCAACUGCAGGUUUAUUAGUAGUGGGAAUUUAAGUUGCAUUUGCUAAUUAAAUGGUUUUGUUUAUAUUGAUCUUGUUAUUUUUCAAAAAAAAAAAUAUUGAGAUAAUAAGCAUGCAAACAAUUAAAUAGGUCCUUUUUUUCCAUGAAGACAUACACAGAAUUGACAUAAAUAUAUAACAGAACUAGAAAUUUUUAAAUGAUUAUAUAUCAAAUACAUAUCCUCCCCUCAUUUUGUUCCGUGCAAGGAAGAUCUGGAAAGUAUUUUUCUUGACAUGAAUUUUUUAUUUGUGCAACAACCAAUAAGAAAUUGUUCUGAAAGUUGAAUGUAGAUUUUCUCUCUGUAAAAGGAAACACAAGAAAAUGUAUAUAGGCUGAUCGAGCAGUAACAGCGAGUAACCAUGUAUAUGUCUUCAUUUCUGUAGAUACUUUAAGACCCCUGGGAUGUGGAUAUUGUAGAAAUAUUCCUUCCAGUCAAUAGAUUUGGGGUCAAAAUCAAAUCUUUGUGCUUCAAUCUUGUCCUUCAUCAUUUGCACCCUUAACCUUUCCAAGUUAGUGUCGUCAAAGCUUUAAAAGAAAAAAAAGAAAAGAAUUAGCACAAAUUAAUUCUACCUAUCUCCUUCAACGAACAUGCAUAAAAUAAAGAAUUAAUCAUGCAUGAAAUUAUAUGAAUUGCGCGCACACAUUAUAGAUAAAAAUGUCAAAUUGUCUUUCUUAUCUUACAAAACAUACAGCUGUGUGGAAGCUCUAUAGAGGUACAUUAUGUUAAAAUGAAAAGGCAUUUGAGAAUAGUAAAACUUAUAAUUAAUUAAUUGGAAUAAUGUGAGGGAAAUAUAUAUUAGUGCUUUGCUAACGGAGCUUUCUAGUUGAGACACUCAUAAAAUCGUAUAAACAUAAAGAAUUUGAAUCAUAUACCAUCCCUUGAAGAAGGCAUAAGGUGCAUAAAGGUCGACCAGGUGCAUAAUGAACUUGUACAUCCUGCUGAGCUCAUUGUAACGUUGCGCGAACAAUCCACAAAAUAUUAGAUUCAGCAUGUGCAGUACCUAAUGACGAGAAGAUGGAACCAUUAAGAAAAUAUAUAUCUGAUGGUCUAGCACUAUAAAUACUACUUGAUGGUGCCAUUAUUUGUAUUGAAAAUUAAAUGGAAUAAUUUGUGUUAAACUAUAACUAACUUGAAGUACUGUAGACAUGUAGUGUGCCAUAGCGUAUGUGGAGUGCAAACUAAUCUAAUAUAUGCAGAGUUUUUGAAAGAGAGUUAAGUGAUGACGACCUCCAACGGUAGCUUAUAUCUUAGGGUCAUAUACCCUUGAAAACUUCCCAAAGUUCUGAAGAUAGGAAGCCUCUUUGUUUUCGUGGGCUUUCCAUCUUUUCCAAUGCGAGGAUUCUCCAAGAAGUACUCGUACCCGCAUUGCUCCAGAAUAGAGUAUGACGCAGGAUUUCUCAUUGACGAGCCUACAUGGUAGAUGAAUUCAUCUUGCUGACUUGAAUGAGCCACUAUCGUUGAAAUCAUCGCAUUCACCACCAUGUCUCCAGGGAUCUGCAUUACAAAUUAAUCAGCCUUAAUUUGAAUGGGGUGCAGGCUGAGCUGAGCAAGAAUGAAAAUUCAUAACAAAUAGUAUGUGUUGCAUUUAAAUUAAUAUACUCGCUAAGUAUAUGCAUGGUUUAAAGCUUUGGGUUGAUCAUGGGAAGGAUUAAUUAGUGUUAAUUAGAGCAAAAAGCAUGCAUUAAUACGAAAGAAAAAUUUGCAACACUAAACAUGUAUAUUCCUUCCUUCUGAUUAAUUACUUACCACAUCCAUUGUAGAAUUAGGGUCUCCUAGGAAGCACGUGAGUUUUCCCUUGGCAUAACCAAUGAUGAAGGUGUCGAUAGUCCUACAAAAUCAUCUUCCCAAAUUUAGAUAAUUAUUUUCAGUAAUAAAAUUUUUGAAAAUGGGUGUACUUGUAUUGACCUGGUUCCUUCCAUCCACCCAGGCAAGGGCUCUUUGUAAAUGCUUGUUAUUAUAGAGGGCCGAAUGAUAACAAGAGGCAGAUCUUCUCUCAAAUGCCCAAGCAACAUCUCCCCCAUGGCCUUUGUAAACACAUAGGUGUUAGGCCACCCAAAAUUUCUAGCNACUAUCCUCUNNNNNNNNNNNNNNNNNNNNNNNNNNNNNNNNNGAAUUAGGCUGGAAUACUAUUGAUAGCAAAACGCUCUUUUUGCUAUCAAGUUUUUUAACCCUUGGAUGAGAAAUUGUAGGGUUAGGAAGAUAUUAGUCCGUUAGAGUUGAGUGGUCCCCCUAGGGUUGAGUGGUCUGGGUUAUAGUAUUUAAUCCAAUAGUUAGAAAUGAUGAAAAGAGUUGAUCCAAAGGCUAAAAAACUGGUAGCAACAAUGAAAUUUUGCUACUAAUAGUAGCCCAGUCCAACUCUAUAUAUAUAUAUAUAUAUANUUCUUCUCUAUAUUAUCGGUCGACUGGUCGAAGUCUAGUUCCCUCUUUCUUUCUUUAACCAAAUUUAGUUCUGCUUCAAUGUCUAAGUAUGAGUUUCCUUUUAGUGUCUCUCCCAUGCUAAACUGAUUCUCCAAUAUUAGUCCAUCGUUCUCGCCAGCCACAUAAGCUGAUGAUCAUUCAUUAGUCAAGAAUAACACGAGUAAUUUGGGCUUAAAACAUAAUAUGUGCUAAAUUAUUCCCAUAUCAAUAUUAUGAACGCAAAGUUUCUAUUGGCACUUAUCUCAUUGGUGUAUAUAUGCAAGAUAGUGUUAAUUAUUGUUCUCGAAGUAUUGAUGAGAAUUUGUAUGUAUCGGCUCCGUUAAAUAUGAUCUAAACCAUUUAAACUACCUAGAAAUCAAAUUUCACGCACUUUCGAUAUUGUUUUUUUAUCCAUCUAAUGAACAGAAAAAUGAAUGUCUGAAAAUGAAUAUUCUUUAAAAAAUGAUGAUAGGAGUCUUGUAAUCAAGAUCAAGAGUAUAGAUCUUGUUUUAAAUAGUUUAAAGAAUUUUCUAACAAAAAUUCAAUUGAUUUGGAUAUCUUUACACCGUUAAACGAGAAAACGUCUCUUAUCCACCAUUAAAAUUACAAAUUUUGAAACCUUUUGAUCAUUAGGCAAAUGAUGUCGAAAAGAUUUGAAAUUUGAUUUCUAAACACUGUAAGUGGUAUAGAUCAUGUUCAACGGAGCCGGUCGUCAAUUUGGAAGCUCUAUCAUCGAAAACAACUCGAUAGUAAAAUGCCCCGUUUACUAUCAAGAGUAUUCUAGCUCAACUCUAUAUAUAUAUAUAUAUAUAUAUAUAUAUAUUCAUCCCACUCAUCUGCAUGUAAUUUGAUUGUGGCAGUAGUAUGCUUACGAUUUUUCACACUACUUACCAGUGGAAACAUGGAGCAGCAUGUUGAGAUUAACGCAUUUCUUUGCAAACUCUAACACAUGUUUGGCUCCCAAGACAUUCACAUCCAAAGCCACAUCAUAUCUGCAAAAGAGUAUACAUGUUUUACGUGUUAAUUAACAACUGAAAACUUCGCUACUUUGCAUAGUAACAUUACGUGCAUCAAAUUUCAAAGAAAUUACAAAAACAAAACUUGCAUUGAGAAAAAACAUAUUAUAUAUGUGCUCGUAUAUUCAUAUUCAGUUGUAACCGAAAGCCUCUUAAUUAAUUUUGUUCGGCGGCUAGAAUAUACAUAGAAAGCUAGUACCUUUCAAAAAAGCCGGUUGUUGCAGCUACAUUGACAAUUAUGUUGAUUUUCUUCCAUAAGUGUUCUUUUAUAUCAGAGUCCUCUAUCCCAAGGUUUUCAUGAACAACAUCUCCCGCUACAGGAAUCAGCUUUUCUUCGAUGAAGGAAUGAAAUCCUUUGCCAUGUUUGUCUUUCAAAACCUGAAAUAUUUCCUUCCCUAUCACCUGGUAAAAUGAACAAGAAGCAUUAAAACUAUGUAGCUUUCACACUUGCAAAAUUAAUCCAAAAAAAUGCUAAGAGCAGGUUGUUAUUGUUACAUUACCUAAUAUAUUACUUAAAUCUAUACAUCGGGGAAUAAUGAUAGUAUAAGCAAGAAAGCUUAUUUGAAAGCAAUAGGGCUUUGAGCAUUGAUACUUGAUAGUUGAAACAAAAUAAAAUAAAAUCUAUGGCCUUUCAAGGACACAAUUAUGAGCAAGCCACUUUAUAUUUUAACUAUUGGAACUUGUUUGGACAUCAGAGUAAGUUAUGUAAGUAUAAUUUAUUUUGUAUAAGAAUUUUUUUUUUGUGAUUGCUAGUAAGGCCUCCUCGCAAAAAUCCAUGAUAUCCAUAGUUUAGUAGGGUAGCAUAUCUUUUCUAUAAGGUGAUUUAUUUUAUUCUAAAAAAAUAUGACGUCGAAUAUAGUAUUCAUUUUGGACAUUCGAUCACACUUCUCAUUUACAAAAUACUAAAUGGAAUGGCUACGUCGGAUAUGAUAUUCACGUAUCCAAACAGUACCUUGUUAUAAUCUUUUCUUGCUUGGACUUUCUUUUAACUACAGAUACAUGAUUUACUUAUUUUGCCUCCAUAUCCAAUAUCUCAAUGAUUGUGCUUUAUAGAUAUAAAAUUUUGAAUUAUGAUUUAAUUGAUAUUCAUUUAUAAUUAGAAAAACAACAUAAUAUAGAAAGUUUGCAUUGAUUUUUUAAAUUCAAGCCUAUCGAAAUUUUUUAGAUUCUCAAAUCGAAAAAGGAGUAUUGGGUAUUACACUAUCAUGAGUUUCAGGCACUUCACUAGGUAUAUAUAGAGAUUGACAACUACGAUGUUGAAUUGAAGAAGUCUAUCUAUGUUUGGAAGGUUGUUGGAUUUUGACUAUUGAUUAUGUGGAUGCUUGAUGUACUUAAAAAUAAUUUCUAAAUGCUAUACUAUUCUAUGUAUUUCAAACACUUUACAUGAUGUUUACAUCAACAAUUUGGAAGCCGUAUCAUCAAAAACUGCUGAGGGCUAAGACUUUGAUCUGUACACAUAAUAAUAUAUAUUAUCCUGAAAAAAUAUCAGUAAAUAUCAUUUAAUCAAACCUUAAUUUGCUGCAUCUAAAAUAUUUACAUUUUACCUUCCACUUUAAUAACACAGAGAAUAGUUGUUAUUCUCAAUAUGGUGCUAGUAUAGAGAGCCAAUUUUAGGCACUCUGUCUCCUAAGGAACUUAAGUUCAAGUGUGAGGCAUAGUAAGCAUUACUUAGGAGUGUAGACCUUCUUUUGCCACUUCUACUAAAAAUUAGAUCUCUCCUCAACCUCUAAUAGGGCAACUUGUUUGUUAUUUAGUAUAAAAUUUACAUCAUUAAUGUUUUUGGAUAUCCGGUAAUUAGCCUGGUUAAUUACUUAAAGAGCCUCCACUGCUUCCAAUCUAAGCAGUGACUCUACUCCUAUUUAUGCUGCGGUAUUCAACUAUAUCAACAUAUUAGAAUACUGAACCAAGUUAAUUUGAAACUGGCAAAAAGAAAAUAGGUUAACAAAAAGCCAUGUGUAUUCUGUGUGUAUGACGUAUUCCAGUUUCACUCUUUAAAGAGCUGCUUAACCAAACUGGACUGAUUUGGUGUAUGUAUGACGUACAUGUGUAUUCUGUAUUUACAUUUAUGUACGUACUCACGGUACGUCCUAUAUAUAUGUAUAUAUGUGUUAAACAAUUUCCAAUCUAUUGACGGCAAUUAAUAAGAUCGAUGUUGGCAUUAUAUAUUCUAAACUGUAAUUAAUAGGAAUAUAGUGACAAUAUUACUACACAUAUAUUUUACUUAUUUUCACUUGAUUUGUUGCUACGGCAGCUAUAUAUAUCAACUUUAUUUAAUUUCUAUUAAUAAGAUUGAUCUUGCAAAGUACACUAUUAAUGCUAUGUUAUCAAUUCUAAGACAAAAAAGUAGACUAAGUAUUGUUAUAUUAGUGUACAUAAUUAAUAGUGCGGAAAAAUUAGACAAUCCAGCAGAUACUUGAUAAGGAUCAAAUGUGUAAUCCAACUUUAUAAUAACGUAUUAAUUGGUUUAGACUGGCUUAGAACCAAAAUUAGCAAAAAAGGGGAUAACCGAACAAGCUUCAGAACCAUACAAGAACCCCCUACUUCUAUGUAGGAUAAUCCUUUCCUUUUUAUCUUUUUGCAUCUUUUUAUUAAUAGCGCUUUCAAUCUAUAUUUAUUUAGGUUUAUGACGUUUGCAAAUCGAGCUAAUUUUGAUCACUUGUACGAUAAGUAAAUCCUCAAACUUAUCUUACUUCCUGUCUCUGAAGUGUUUCAAAACUUUAGUAGAAUUGAAUGAUACAUAUACCAACCCACAAUGGUAAAUAAUGAGAUAUCACGAUCUUAGGCCCACCGUCUUGUAUAUAUUAUUGUUAAUUUGUGUUGGAGUAUAUACUACCAAGAUUUUGUGAAAGAGACUAAGUAAGAGGCUUUCUUGUUAGAGCAGUCAUAGAGCAUACACAAGUUAACUUGUUAAAAGUUCACACUUAAGAGGAAGAUAAAUAGAAAGAACAACAUUUAUCUGUUUUAAUUAACUCUUUUUUUUCUCUUUUUUUCUUUUCUUUUUUCUUUUUACAAGAGAGAGAGAGAGAGAGAGAGAGAGAUUGCACCUCGCUUUGAAUGCGCUGCUUAGGUGACGCAACAUUGGUGGCUCUCACAAGGAGGAAGAGCUUGUUAACAUUUGGUUCAACUCUAAGCAACUUCUCCACAAAUACUGCAUGCAUUCAACAGCAAAAAAUGAAGCUGAUUAAAUCUCCACAUGCAUGAACGCUCAGAACUGAAGUGAAAAAUUAUACAACAUAUAUAUGUUUGGAACAAAUGUAUAUAUAUAUAUAUAUAUAUAUGUAUGUAUAUAUGUAUAUAUAUAUAUAUAUAUAGUUGCAUCAGAAAAUUAACAAGAAUUAAAAAUCCUAAUCGACUCUACAUAAUUAUAUAAAUUAAGAUGCAUGCAUACUUGUUCCUAGAAAGCCAGUAGCGCCCGUAAUGAGGAUGUUCUUGUCCUUGAAAUAUCCUGCAAUUCUACUUGUUUCCAUGUCGAAGUCUACGGAGAGAAGGACGUGCAAAUUAGGAGAGAUGGAUUUUUGAGUUGUCUCAGAGAGAUCACUAUAUAAUUAAUGAACGAGUAAUGAUCGAACUUAAUAUGUUAUGCAUGCUGCUUAUAUAGAGGAUAAAAGAGUAGAAAUUAAGCUAGCUAGCUGCAGAAGAAAGCUAGCUGGAGUGUACGAAAGCGUGGAGACGUGGUGGUUCAAAACUUGUGCCAAGGAACAAAGCUAAAUAAAAAUUGGACGAGAAGCUUCACUAAUUAUAUAGUUUACUCUUUUUGUUUCUUUUUUUCUUUUUUUUUUCUCUCCUCCUAAUUAUUUUAGUCUCUCUAUCUCGUGCCUUAAUUAUUAUAUAAGUAAAUUAUAGAUAACCGGCCCCCACCGACUUUAAAUGCUACAAAUUAGCACGAAGAGCAAUACGCAAAUAAUUAAUUAAGCAGCAUGAAAUUAAUAGCCUUGUGAGAAGCAACAAAUUCAUAUAAUAAUAAUAAUAAUAAUACGUCAUAAUUAAUUAAUUAAUUGAGUUGCCAUUUAAUUAAUUUGGACGUAUUUUGGUCAAAUUCCGGCAAAAUCCGGUCAAAAUUAAUCAGCCGAUCGAUAUCUCUUUCUUGCUCUUUCGUCUUCUAAUUACUCAUCUCUCUAACUUUUGUUUGGAGUACUAUAUAUGACGUCGCGCGAGGUAAUCGAUCGAUCAAUCAAAAGGCAACUCUACCUCUACCUCAGAUACAUACUUCCAUUCUUUGGAGGUGAUUGGAUGGAAGUAGUUGAAAAUACAAUAGUACAGUUGGAAACACGCAUAGUUAUAAUUUUUAAUUAAGUUUAUAAAUCGACACAAUUUAAAAUUUUUAAUCUAUUACUUUAAUAGAUAAAGCAAACUUAACAUGUUCUGCCAUUCAUUCUUUCUUUAUCAAAUUGGAUAAUUGUAAUUUUUUUUUUCCUUGCAAAUCAACACAAUUUAAAAUUUUUAAUCUAUUACUUUAAUAAAUAAAGCUAACUUAAAAAUAUACUACAAAUCUUUCUUUUUUAUCAAAUUGGAAAAUAAUAAUAAAUUAAAAUUUAUUAAGUUAACAUACACAAUCAAAUUCUUUAAAAUUUACAAACAAGACUAUUUGUCGUCUUUUAAACGAAAGCAUUUUUUUUUAAUAGUUUAAUUUUACUUACAUAAAGCUUGUGCAACUCACGAAAUUUUAUUAUUUUUUAUAUAUUUAUAAAUACUUUCAUAUGUUUAUAAAUCUAUAUACAAAUACAUUUUGUUUUGUAUAUUAUUUGUUUAUAUAGUUAUCUAUUUAUUUAUUUACAUAUCUAUUCAUUUAUUAAUUCAUUUAUUUAUUUAUUUAGUAUUGCUAAUUAGUUGGGGAUUCGAUCCUUCACCAAUUACUGCAGUUAAAAUUGCAACCAAUUGGGGUGUAGUUCUAAUUAUAGCAUUUGGGUCUUCUCAUACAGUUGCAAAUGCAGCAACUAAGUUCAACUGCACCAAACCAAAUGCAUGAUUUGAAUCUACAUGCAUUUGCUACUGCAAUGUCUAUAUAUAUUGUAACGACUUCUAUUAUAAUUUUUAUUUUCAUACUUAUAUGUCUAUUUAUUUUUAAAGAAUGGAUUGGUAUUGAGAUAUAAUUAAAUUCUAAUUUUUCUAGGAGAAUGCAGUAAUUAUAUUUUAACUGAAUUACUACAACCUGUGUGAUUUUCUAAAACUAUAUACAGUGUAUUUCCGUUUCGCACAUUUUGGCCAUGAGUACCUACUCCCUUUAUGCAGAACCCCAAACAAAGACUUUCGGAAUGGGUAUAGAAAGUUAGAAUUUUGAUCUAUUACAUAAAUUUUAAACAUGUUCAAUUCACACAAUUUGACAAUAUUUUGACUAUUUGAUUGAAUAUAGAAAUUUUUAAAAAUAUAUAUAUAUAUAUAUAUAUAAUCUAAUUAAAUUUAAAGUUCAUUCCAAAAUGUGUUACAGUUCACCAAAAGUCUUUGCAUUUUUUACAUCCUAUACCAAAACUUUUUAUUAAGAGCAAGGACAGGUAUAUAUGUUACGUUACUUUUUCUCUCUUCUCUUCCUCAAAUUCUUUGCUUAGGUUUCUUCAUACAUGGAUCCAUCAAUCUGUCUCAUCUUUGUGUCAACGAAUCUCAUCUAACAGUUAGAACACUGGUGACAAAAUGUUGUUGGGGCUAGGGACGAGAACUUCUGUUGUUUAUUCCAACUGCAAAUAAAGUAACAUGUGUGUAUAUAUAUUGACGUUUCCGGCUGGGAUACUAUCGAUAGCACCAAGCAUUUGGUGCUAUCAAGUUUUUCGCCAUUUGAUUUAUCCUUUUGGCUAUUUUCUCCCAUUAAAUUAUACUAUUAAACCAAUAACUAAGGGCCCACAUCAUCCUAACCGUACAUUUUUUCAUUCAAGGGCUAAAAACCUAAUAGCACCAAAUGCUUAGUGCUAUUAAUAGGUAUCUUAUUCCCAAUUAAAAUUACAAAUUCUGUCUUUGGAAACCUUGUUUGAUCAUUUAGGCAAUGAUGUGAAAUUUGAAUUUUGAUUUCUAACACUGUAACGUGAUAUAGAUCAUGUUCCAACGGAGACCGCGUUCGUCAAUUGGGCAAGCCUAAUCAUCGAAAAAACGUCGAUCACUCAAUGCCCCGUUUACAUUAUCAAGAUAUUUUUAGCUCAACGUCUAUAUAUAUACUAUACUAUAUAUUUAUAUAUAUUAUCCCACUCAUUCUGCAUGUAAAUUGAAUUGUGGCAGGUAGUUAUGCUUACCUUAUUCUUUAACUACUAUCUUACCAGUGGGAACACAGUGGAAAGCAGCAUGUUGAGAUUAACGCAUUUCUUUAUGCCAAACUCUAACACAUGUUUGGCUCAAGACUUACAUCCACAGCCAAUAUAUCUGCAAAAAGUAUAAAUGUUUUACGUGUUAUUAACAAACUGAAAAACUUCGCCUACUUUUUGGCCAUAGUAACAUUACCGUCGCAUCAAUGUCAAAGAAAUGUACAAAAACAAGACUUGCAUUGAGCGAAAAAUACAUAAUUUUACAUGCUGCUGGUAUAUUCAUAUUCAGUGUGUACCGAAAGCUCUAUAAUUACAUUGUUGUUCGUGCGCGCUUAGGAAUGAUACAUAGAAAGCUGUACCUUUUCAACAAGCCGGUUGUGUUGCAGCUUACAUGACAAUUAUGUUGAUUUUCUUCCAUACAGUGUUCUUUUAUGAUCAGAGAUCCAUCUAUCCCAGGUUUUCCGAUGAACACAUCUCCGCUCAUGAAUCAGCUUUUUCUUCGAUGAAGGAAUGAAAUCCUUUGCCAUAGUUUGUCUUUCAAAACCUGAAAAUAUUUCCUUUACUAUCACGCUGGUUAAAUGAACAGAAGCAUUAAAAACUCUGUAGCUUUCCACCUUGCAAAAUUUAAUCCAAACAAAAUUUGCUAGAGAGGUUGUUAUUUCAUUACAGUUACUAAUUAUUACUUAAAUCUAUAAUCGGGAAUAAAUGAUAGUAUAAGCAGAAGCUUAUUGAAAGUCAAUAGGGCUUUUGGAGCAUUGAUACUUGAGUUAGCUUGAAACAAAAUAAAAUAAAAUCUGAUGUCCUUUCAAGUCCAAUUCUAUGUGCAAGCCACUUUAUAUUUUAACUAUUGGAACUUGUCUUGGACAUCAGAAAAUAAGUUAUGCUAAAGUAUAAUUUCCAUUAUGUAUAAUAAUUUUUUUUUGUGUAUUGCUGUUAAGCGAUUUUUUGUUUUUUUUUGGCCUCCCUGCACAAAAUCCAUGAUAUCCAUAGUUUAGUAGGGUAGCAUAUCUUUUAUUAGGUGAUUUUAUUUUAUCUUCAAAAAGUAUGACGAUCGAAUAUAGGUAAUUCUUUUGCACAUUCUAAACUUCUCAAUUUACAAAAUACUAAUGAAUGGCCUUACGGUCGGAUAUGAUAUUACAGUAUCAGAAAGUUACCUUGUUAUAGUCAUUUUCUGGCUUGGACUUUCUAGUUUAACUACAGAUACAUGAUUUACUUAUUUUGCGUCCAUAUCAAUAUCUCAUGAUUGUGCUUUAUAGAAUACUAAUUUGAUUAUGAUUAAUUGACCCUCAUUCAAUUAUAAUUCAGAAAAAACAACGAUAAAGUAUAGAAAGUUUGCAUUGAUUUUUUUUAAAUUUAAGCUAUCGAAAUUUUUUAGAUUCUCAAAUCGAAAAGGAGUAUUGAGGUAUUACAUAUCUUGAGUUUCGAGGCAUUUCACUAGGGGUAUAUAUGAGCAUUGACAACUAGCGAUCUUGAAUUGAAGAAGUUAUGUCUAUGUUUGGAGAGUUGUUGGAUUGGUUGAACUAUGAUUUAUUGUGGAAUGCUUUCGAUGUACUUAAAAAUUAAUUUCUAGAUGCUGAUAGCGUAUUGCUAUGUAUUUCAUAACCGACUUUUAUGUGUUUUAAUGCAACAAUUUGGAUCAAGGCGUAUCAUCAACAAACUGCUGGGGCUACAGCUUUUGAUUUCUGUACACAUAAUAAUAUAUAUUAUUCCUGAAAAUCAUCAGUAACAUAUGCAUUUAAUUCAAACCACCUUAAUUUGCUGCAUGGCUAAAAUAUUUACUUUACCUCCACUGUAAUAACACAGAGAAUAGAUUGUUAUUUCAAUAGGUGCUAGUAUAGAGAGCCAAUUUUGGCGACUCUGUUCUAACAAGGAACUUGAAGCUUCAAGUGUGAGGCAUGUAUAGCAUUAGCUUAGGAGUGUGAGACCUGUCGUUUUGCCACUUCUUGACUAAAAAAUUAGAUCUGUCCUUCAACCUUAAUAGGGCAAUUGUUUGCUUAUUUUAGGUCACUCACUAAAUUUUACAUCAGUUAAUGUGUUUUGGUAUAUCCGGUUAAUUAAGCCUGGUUAAUUACUCUAAAGGCGCUUCCACUGCUUCCAAUCUAAGCAGUGAAACUCUACUCCUAUUUAUGCCUGCGGUAUUCAACUUAUCAACAUAUAUUGAAUACUGAACCAACGGUAUAUUUGAAACUGGCAAGAAAGAAAAUAGCCGUUAACAAGAAGCAUGUGUAAUUCUGUGUGUCUGACGUAUUCCGUAUAUCACUCUUUAAGAAGCAUGCUUAACCAAACUGACACUGAUUUGGUUGUAUGUAUGAAGUACUAUGUGUAUUCUGUAUUUACAUAUGUACGUACUCAGGGUACGUCCUUAUAUAUUGUAUAUAUUGUUAAACAAUUUCAAUCUAUGACGGCAAUUAAUAAGAUCGAUGUUGGCAUCUAUAUAUUUAAACAUGUACCAUUAAUUAGGAGAUAUGAAGUGACACAUAUGUACGUCACACAUAUAUUUUACUUAUUUUUCACUUGUAUUUUUGUACUGGCAGCUAUAUUAUCAACUUAUUUAAUUUCAAUUAAUUAAGAUUGAUCUUGAAAGUAACAUUUAAUGCUAUGUUAGUUUCAAUUUCUGAAGACAAAAAAGUAGCUCCAGUAUGUUAUUUAGUGUACAGAAUAUAGUAUUCUGACGAAAAAUUAGAAUCCAGCAGAAUACUUGCAUUAAGGAUCAAAUGCCUCGUAAUCAAAUUUAUAAAUAACGUAUAAUGUGGUGUUUAGACUGGCUUUAGAACCAAAUUUAGACAAAAAUGCGAUACCGCAAGCUUCAGAACAUACAAGAACCCCUACUUCAAUGUAGGAAAUCCUUUCUUUUUAUCUUUUUGCAUCUUUUUAUUAAUAGCGCUUCUCAUGCUAUUAUUUAUUUACGGUUUAUUUGACGUGUGCAAUCGAUGCUAAUUUUAUCACUUGUACGAUAAAGUAAAUUCAAAUUAUCUUAUUCCUGUCUCUGAAGUGUUUCAGAAACUUUAGAAUAGAUUGAAGUUAUACAAUAUACCAACCCACAAAUGCGUAAAUAAUGAUGAAUAUCACGAUUUAGGCCCACGUCUUUGUAUAUUUAUUGUGUAAUUUUGUUGGAGAUAUACUACAAUAUUUUGUGAAAGAGACUAGUAAGAGGCUUUCUUGUUUAGAGCAGUCAUAGCAUGCAUUAAAAAGUUAACCUGUUUAAAAGUUACAUUAAGGAGGAAGAUAGAAUAGAAAGAAACACAUUUAUCUGAUUUUAACUUAACUCUUUUUUUCAUUUUUUUUCUUUCUUUUCUCUUUUUACAAGCGAGAGAGAGACGACGAGAGGAGAGAGAGAUUGCACCUCGCUUGAAUGCGCGCUUAGGUGACGCAACAUUGGUGUUCACAAGGAGGAAGAGCUUUGUACACUUGGUUCAACUCUAAGCAACAUUCUCACAAAUACUGAAUGCAAUUCAACAGCAAAAAAUGAAGCUGAUUAAAUCUCACAUGCAUGAAACGCUCAGAACUGAAGUGAAAGAAUUUAUAAAAUAUAUAUAUGUUGCGAACAAAUGAUAAUAGUUUAUAUAUUAUAUAUAUGUCUAGUACCUAUAUUGUAUAUAUAUAUAUAUUAUAGUUUGCAUCAGCAAUAAUUAACAGAAUUAAAAUCCUAUCGACUUACAUAAUUAUUAUAAGUUAAAGAUGAUGCAUUACUUGUGCCUAGAAAGCCAGUAGCUGCCCCGUUAAUGAGGAUGUUCUCUUGUACUUGGAAUUUUAUCUGCAAAUUCUGCUUGUUUUCCCAUGUCGAUAAGCUACGGGAGAGCAAGGAUCGUGCAAAUUAGGGAAGAUGGAUUUAUUGAAGUUGUCUCAGAGCAGAUCACUAUAUAAUUAAUGAACGCAAGUAAAUUGAUCGAACUUAAUGAUGUAUAUGCAUGCUGCUUAUUAUAGAGGGGGGGGGGGGGAGGGAGGCUGGAUAAAAGUAGAAAUUAUGCUAGCUCGUGCCAGAAGAAAGUAGCUGGAGUGGUUUUACGAAAGCGUGAGACGUGGCUGGUUCAAAUAUUGCAAGGCAACAAAAGCCUAAAUAAAAAAUUUGGACGAGUAAAGGAUCACUAUUAUUCGAAAAAUAAUAAAAUUUAUUUUCUAGGUACUCCAAAUACUCUAGAUCAAGUUUAACGGAGCCGAUCGACGAUUCGAAAGUCCCAACAUCGAAAACGAGCUGGAAGCACGGAAGGCUCCGUGCUUCCAAUAGCAUAGUAGCCUCACUCUAUAUAUAUAUAUAUAGAUAUAGUUGAGCUAGAAUACUAUCGAUAGCAAACGAGCUCCGUUGCCACCCAUUUGUUUUCUAUGAUGGAGCUUCCAAAUCGACGAUCGGCACCAUUGAACAUGAUCUAUACCACUUGAAGUGUUUAGAAAACAAUUUUCAUACAUUUCCGAUAUUGUUCUCUUAUCCAUCGAGUGGACACAAAAAUGAACGGCUGAAAAUGAAUAUUCUUUAAAAGAUAAUGAUAGGAGUCUUGCAAUCAAGAUCAAGAGUAUAGAUCUUGUUUUAAAUAGUUUAAAAAAUUUUCUAACAAAAAUUCAAUUGAUUUGAAUAUCUUUACGCCGUUAAACGAGAAAACGCCUCAUAUCGACCAUUUCCCUAGCGCAAGUGGCAAAAGGGCUUGAUGGUUGGUACCCGAGACCCAAGUUCGAAUCCUCGUUGAUUCAUAUUUCCAGCUAAGUUUAUUUCUAAAUAAAAUAAACAAAGCGGGUAGCGUGCUACCUAUCUCUCAAAAAAAAAAAAAAUACAAAUUUUGAAACCCUUUGAUCAUUAAGUAAAUGAUGUUGAAAAGAUUUAAAAUUUGAUUUCUAAACGCUUCAAGUGGUGUAAAUCAUGUUCAACGGUGCCAAUCGUCGAUUUGGAAGCUCUAUCAUUGAAAACAAAUGGGUGACAACGGAGCCCGUUUGCUAUCGAUAGUAUUCUAGCUCAACUAUAUAUAUAUAUAUAUGUAUAUAUAUAUAUAUAUAUAUGUAUAUAUAUAUAUAUAUAUAUGUAUAUAUAUAUAUUAGGCUAGGGCCACUAUACUCAUAUGAGUAUAGAACAUAUGAGUAUAGAACCCUUCAUACUCAUAAGUUGUUUUCAAUGAUGGAGCUUCCGAAUCGACGAUCCACUCUUUUAAAUAUGAUCUAGAGUAUUUAAAAAAAAUAAAUUUCGUAAUUUUUCGAAAUCAUAAUAAAGUCAUCAAGCGGAUAUAAAAUGAACGGUCAAAAUCGAACGACAUCUUUAAAAUGGAUGUUCGGAUCCUUCAAUUUAAGAUCGGAGUUAUUGAUCUUUAUCUAUAUAGUGAGUAGAAUUUUCUAUCAAAAAUUCAACCGAUUUCGAUUCUUUUACAUCAUUAAACUAGCAAAUAUCCCAUAUCGGCCGUUAAAAAUUGUCAAUUUUGUGGCAUUUUGAUCGUAAGGUAAAUGACGUCGAAAAAUUAUGAAAUUUGAUUUCUAGACGUUUUCAAUGCUCUAGAUAACGUUUAACGGUGUGGAUCGUCGAUUCGAAAGCUCUGUCAUCAAAAACAACUUAUGAGUACGAGCGCGAUCGUACACAUAAGAGUAUAUAUGUAGGCUAAGGCUACUAUACUCUUAUGAGUAUAGAGCACUUCGUACUCAUAAGUUGUUUUCAAUGAUAGAGCUUCCGAAUCGAUGAUCCACUCCGUUAAAUAUGAUUUAGAGUAUUUGAAAUUUCUAGAAAAUAAAUUUUAUAAUUUUUCAAAAUUAUAAUAAUGUUCAUCAAGCGAGUAUAAAAUUAACGGUCAAAAUCGAAUGACGUCUUAAAAGUGGAUGAUUGGAUCCCUCAAUUUAAGAUUGGAGUUAUUGAUCUUUAUCUAUAUAGUGAAUAGAAAUUUCUAUCAAAAAUUCAACUGAUUUUGAUUUUUUUACAUCGUUAAACUAGCAAAUAUCCCAUACCGGCUGUUAAAAACUAUCAAUUUUGUGACCUUUUGAUCGUAAGGUAAAUGAUGUCGAAAAAUUAUAAAUUUUGAUUUCUAAACGUUUUAAAUGCUCUAGAUAACGUUUAACGGUGUGGAUCGUCGAUUCGGAAGCUCUAUCAUCAAAAACAACUAAUGAGUACGAGGGCAAUUAUACUCAUAAGAGUUAGUCGCCGGACUAAUAAUUAAUUAUUAUUUAUAAAUUAUAUAUAUAGAGAGAGAGAGAGGAGCGAGAGAGAGAGAGAGAGAGAGAGAGAGAGAGAAACUAAGGCCUUGGAAUACUAUCAAUAGCCUACAUCUAUCCGUGGCUGAAUUAGUUUUUUUAGCCCUUAGAUUGAGAAAUGUGCCGUUAGGAUGAUGUUGCCUCCUAGUGUUUAGAGUGGGUGGUAUUGAAUAACUAUAAUUAACGGAUAAAAAUAAUCAAACAGUUAAAUCUAACGGUGAGAAAACUCAAUAGCACCAUAUAUUUUGUGCUAUCGAUUGUACCUAACGCGGGAUCUAUAUAUCUAUAUAUAAUAUAUAUAUAUAUUAUAGAGAGUCCGGCUAUUACCAAGCCCUUGGUACUAUUGAGUUUUCUACCGUUAGAUCUACCCUUUGAUCAUUUCCACCCGUUAGAUUAUACUAUUAAACCAAUCAUCCACUUAACCCUAGGGGACCGCUAUCAAUUUAACUGGGGACCACUAUCAUUCUAACCGCACAUCUUUUCCUCCAACGGCCGAAAACUCAAUAGUAUUAAAGGCUUGGUACUAUUGAUGGUAUAGUAGCAUAAUUUUAUAUAUAUAUAUAUAUAUAUAUCCAAUUAAAGAACAGCGCUGUGUUUUAAUAGAAAUAAGGUUCUGUCUAAUUAGUACGCACCUUUAGGUACAGCGCCCAAGAAAUUAAUCCUAAGCUUGAAUAUAUUAAUUAAAAGAAGGUUAAAUAUGAUCCACCAAAAAUUAACCUAAAGAAAUUAAUUGGAACUCAAAAUCUCCUUUUCGCACAUUACUUUAAAACUCUAAACCAUUAAUAACGCUGUUGAUCAGCCUGUCCAUACGAAACAAACUACCGCGGAAAUGUUUUCCACGAAUCUAAAAGCUAAAAGGCACCAACCCAUGCGUAUAUUUGCCAUACAUUCAAGCACGUUCGCAUUGUUUCACAUUGACCGACUAUCGUGACGUAGCCGGACCGAUGGAGUUACUGUAAUCAAUUGUCUCCCUUUAGGACGUGUUUGGUUCAUCUAUUUUAAACUAUGGAAUCGGAAUGAAAUUUAUUGAUUCCGAUUGUUACCAUUUGUUUUACAGGAAUCGGAUUCCGAUUCUCAUUCUACUUUGAAAUGGGAAUGGUCAAAUCCAUUUAUGAUCCAAUCCGAUUUUGAAUUCCGAAUUUCAUUCUGAUUUCCAUUCCAAUAAUGAACCAAAUAUUUUUGGAUGAUUCGUCAUUCCAUUUUCUAUUCCAAAGCAACCCAAUUGCAUUUACCAUUUCUAUUCCAAUCAUGAACCAAACAUGCCCUUACAGUCUUGUAGCCUUACGUACGUGCGUUUUUCUGAGGACAUGACACCGCAUGCUAGCUCUUUUUAAUUUGUUUUCUUCACGUAUGAGUGAAACCACUUCGUCUCUCCUUCGUCCCUUUCUUGGGACAAACUUUUGUUCAGUGAACUUAGUAAAAAGAGUACAACUAUGCUAAAGUGUAGGUGUGGAUCUUACAUUUCAUUCAGUCAAUAGAUGGGAUAUCUUCACUAAUCAUAUUUUAUGACAAGUUGAGAUGCUUGCUCCUUACUAUUAUUUCUACCCAAGACAUAUAUAUGUAAUAUGUAUAAUUUAUACUAUUAAAAAUCGCAUGAUUCGAGGUUUAUCUUUUUUUACUUUUUUUUUUUUAUUUUUAUCGUCUAUUAAAAGAUUAAAAAAAAGAGUAAACAUCAAAUUGCCCUUCUGUGCUAUAGCUUAUUUUCACUUUGCCCUUCUAUAAUUUAAAAGUUUUAUUUUGGCCCUUGUGGUUUAGCUCAUUUUCACUUUGUCACCUGUGAUUUAAAAAGUUUCAGUUUGCCCCUUGUGGUUUAGGACAUUCUUCACUUUGUGAUCCUGUGAUUUUUUUAAAAAUUUACUUUAUCAUCCUAUUUCAUAUAGUAUUUUCCAGUUCUAUAAAAAUUAAACUAUAUAAAAAGACAAAGUUAAACUUUUAAAUUACAGGAUGAUAAAGUGAAAAUGAGCUAAACCACAACGGGAUAAUUUGAAGUUUACCCAAAAAAAUCACACAACCUAUGUAAUGUACUAAGUAGUCUCUGCAAAUAGACAAGAUCGCAGUAUGAGUUUAUGGUUAGCACUUUUGGAGAGUGCCGGAAUUAGUUAGAUCCGUCUUAGUGCAAAAUGGACAUAAAACAGACUCAGCAAAUAAACUCAGCUGAAACUUGAGUACUUUCAUAACAGUUUCAAAUGCCAAUGAGGUGUUGUGGGUGCCCAAAACUACUUAACUUAGGAGUAUAGUAGUUUUGAGGAUCCGGAUGGUGGACCGAACGCCCAAAAGUUUUGGCUGGAGGAUCUGGACACCCAGCUAUGUCAUAAAUAGAUAUGGAAGAGUGAGCGCACUACUCACGCAAGGUUGCGGGGGCCAAAAGUACUGUGGAUGCCCAGAAGUCUAGAAAAGUGCAACCGAGUUAUAGAAUAAAGUGGUAAGUAGUAACUCACCUUGUGCGAUUCGAACGCCGGAAGGUGUGGUCCGAGUGCUCAAAUAGUGGAGCUGGAGAAGUUAUGAUGGUUUCUGACAUACGAUUGCAAUAGGGAGCACCUGAAACCAUCGGACUGAUGAGGUAUGGGAUGCUCGAAUAUGGUUCGAGCAUCCAAAUCAUGUUUCGAACUUAGUGGUUUCUAUGGAUUGUUUGAGGGCUCUUUCCCUAUUAUUGUAGGCAUAUAAAUAGGCCAAGCCCCUAAGACAACUCCUUUUUCAUAUUUUAACUGAGUAGAGCUCCCUUUCUCUCUUCUUUUCUCCUUUGUUUACUCCUAGUAAAGUUUAGGGCUCAUCUUGGUAGGGCCUAGAAGCUCUACUCAGCUAAAAUGUACAAACUGGUUGAAUAAACAGGGUUUUUCCUAUCUGUCCAAGGCGCAAUAUCCUAUAUAUACAUCACAUUCCAAAAAAUAAUAAUAAUAUUCAUGGAUUGCAUAAGAAGAAUAUCAAAUGACAUAAAGUAAAAAAAAAAAAAAAGAAGAAGAAGAAACUACCUAUAACAUCAUUCAUGACAUGUUUACAUUAUAUUUUCUAAAACACAAUGCAAUACAUUUCUUUACAACUUUUUAUCUUCUUUUUCUUUCUAUACAUUUUUCAAAAAAGAAAGGUACAUCUAUGUCGAGCACCAAAAUGGAAGGAGUGUUCUGCCCUUUCUUCGCUCCGUUGAGUCGCCUACAGAUGGACCUAAAAAAGAUAUAGGAAUGAGAAAUAUAAACAUAUAGUUUUCAGUGGGUACGGCUAUCCAAGGAAAGAGCUCGACCCAUCAGGUCCAAAGAAUAAUAUAAAUAUAUAUGAAUGCGCAACAAGCAAUCAUGUAAGUAUAUAAAUCUCUACUAGAUGCAAUGAAAAUAAUCAUGCGUACACAUCUACCGUAUGAUAAUGAAAUCCAUGUAUGUAAGUUAUACCAUUUUAUACUUAUUAUUUCAUUCUCCUAACCAUUUGUCACUCGACCCCCAAGUAGGUCAAUUCAUAGCAGAAUCGCCGCUUUCAUCUUGACAUCAGGUGGGAAAAUCAUCGCUCACCCCUGACCAAAAGAUCAUACUUAAUUGGCAGAAUCACCGCAUUCACUUGGCUAUUAGAUGACGAAAUCGCCGUUCAUCCUCGGCAAGUCUUUGAGUUGUGAAAUCCCCGCUUUGUCUGAAGUCUUUGAGUAGCGGAAUUGCUACUUUCUUGGUCUAGUCAAGGGUAUAACUUACGUCCUCACCCUACUUUGUCAACUAUUUAGGUUCCACAACAUCGUUGUUCAAGUAGUGUCCCAACCUACUUCCUUAGUCCAUAACAUAGAUAUAUAAUUGCAACCUAUGCAUUUUUCUCGAAUGUUGGUAGUUAUUCACACUAAAUAACAUAUGUCCCAUAAUGCAUAUUUACUAGUUAAACUAUCAUUUAACAUGCAUCGAUUUAAAAUAAAUUACUCUUUAGACAUGGAAGUAACCAAAUCAUUUCGAUGAGGCACAACCCACCUCAAAUUAUCCCUAAUUGCUUGUAAACACUGUAAGAUUUUUGCGUAUGAUAAAACCGCAGUUGUCACGCCCUGCACUUCAGCGGAAGCUUACCAGUUACGUGCACAGACCCGCCGUGUAUACCACAACCUCAAGUGUACACCAGGCAUCUACAAACAACAUAGCAAAAGCAUAAUAUUCUAGCCAGGUAAUCAGAACAAAAAUUUAAAAGUUUAUAAGCUUAUACAAAUACAAAACGUUAAUAUAGCUUAGAAGCAAAGUACAAAGUACAUUCUACAUAGUCCGACUAUACAACACUGAACUCAACUAGAAAAGCUGGUAUGGUUUCAUCUAUUUAACAUCGAGAAGGCUCUAGCUAGCCGUUGACCCCUCGCCAAGAACCCUAGCCUUUCCCGCUGUGGAAGGCUCUGCACAAAAACAACCAACAAAAGGACGUGAGAACUAUUAAACAAUAGUUCCCAGUGGGUAAGCCGCCGAGAGUAGCGAAGUACACCACUAGGUCAACUGAGGCAUGAGUAAACAACAAUAAGUAAGCAAAGUAAAUGCAACAAGUAAAUGAAAUAAUUCAAUCAUAGCCUGCCUUACAAGAUAUGUUAUCUAAUAUGUCUGAUAUACUAGUUCAUCAUAACAAGUUCUAUAUGUCAUGUUAAUUAUCAGUUUAAUUAGCUAUAUGUCAUGCUAUAUGCAGAAUAUCAUCAUAAUUUUAUUAGCUAAUGACAUCAUGUAGCUAUUUUUUCAUACUAGCGAGAGUGUAAAUGUACUGUCUCUAUACUACUAACUAACAGGGAUGUCAACCUCCUAGUAUGUUCAUUACUAGGUUUAUUCGACUAAUGACAUAAAGUAUCUUUAUUACUAUGUCCAUCUAAGGUUAAAGUCACUUACCAUAACCCAAUUAAUAGGAGACUUACACAAAGUAAAGUCCCGGCUCGUGCCGUGUCUAAUGGCCCCGUGGAAGUCAACACUACCUACGGCAAUCCACUUCGGCGCUCAAUCUCAUACAUAAGCGAGCAAUCUGUCGCGUAGGCCAACUCCGGAGUGCCAGCUUGUGGGGAGCGACCCUCACAAACAUGUGCGAAUGAGCACAUUGGCAAGCAAGCAUAAUCCAUAGCAUAGGUAUCACAAGUUUAUCAUGUCUCUAACAUGGAAUCUCAACUCGACACAAGGUCUACAAUUAACACUAAGUCAUAAUCCACUAUCAACUACUUGGUGACAUGUUUCUACCAAUAGGUAGUAUGACUUAAACAAGUAUAUGCUUUACAACAUAGCGCUAUACCCGCAUACUCAUAUAAAAUCCUCUCGUUACUCCCUGUACAUAAAGAAAGUGGUUUACUAAGGUCAUACUCAAUGACUCAUUCUAAUGUUCAUGUAACUCAUGGCACAUAUUCUAUAGUUUUUCAAUAACCUCCACUACCUGGAGUCAACAAGUAUAACAUCAUAUUCAACUCUAGUUAUUUAACUAGGUUAUAUUCCUUAGUAUCACAAUCAUGUUAUGUCAUAAUGCCAAGUUUCAGUUAUUUAACUAAAUCAUAUAUCAGAACACGAAGUUUAUGCUAGUUCUAUCAUAUGAAUACCAUGAAUAGCUUGUUUACACAAGUAUACACAACCUCAGAUAGAGUAUUCUACACAUGAUCUCUAAACAAUUUAUUUCAUAAUACAAAGAUAUAAUCUUGUUUUAUGCAAUAUGCAUAGCAAUCCUGUUGUCAUGUCUAAAACAUGGAAUAGCAUAAUAUGACUCAAGAGUUAAAUAUCAUAGCCAUUCUCCACUUAGUUGUUGAACUCCACUAAGUGUUCUAUUCAUAGCUUUGUCUUGAUUCUCAAUCAAUGAUAUCAUGUUUAACUUAUCUACACAAGUUUUACUAAUCUGAGAUAAUACACAUGGAAUAUAUUAGUUUCAAAAUCCUUUUUCCUCUACUACCUAGAGAUUUCAUUCAAUCAUAACUAGUAAAUAGGUUUCAUGCAUACACAUAUUCAUUCAAGCCUAUAUUCUCAAGAAUAUAUAACCAUUCCUCUUUCAUAAUGCCAAAGAAUACAUAGAGAGAAUUCACCCAUUUCGGGAAGGUCAAACCCACCAAUUAGUCGACGAUUCUCGUUGAUUCCACAAAUGAAGAUAAUCCGAAGCCUCCAAACACCCUAACAAUUUUCUAAAAUCAGCUAGGAGCUUAACAUCAACUUCUACCAAAAACCUCGCAUAAGUAUCUAGUUGAGGCAAGAAUCUCACCUAGGAUUAACCCAAGAUUAAACCUCCACCUCAAACCAGGUUAGAGCACACCUAAUUUAACCUGCAAAGAUCAUAAUUCUCAGCCCAAGGAUUUCCAAAACCUGCUGUGAAUAAGCAGCACGCACACCAUUACUACUAUCACCAAUAUCACUACUAAAAUAUUUAACUAGUGAAAGAUUAGGUAAUAUACCUCUCCAAAGCUUCAACUCUGGUAUACCUUGUGUUAGAGUUGAGAAACACAGCCCAAGAUACUCUUUCUAUAGCCGCUGUAAGCUUCCCUCAAAUCAGCUGGCAGCAAGAACAAAGAAUAAGCUCAAAUCCUCUACUAUAGCAUUAAACUAGAGAGAGAACUUACUUAAUCAUCUUAUACAGCUCAAACUCAGGUUGAAGCACAUUAAAUCCAAUCCACAAAGUUCCCAAAACUCAGCUAAAAGAGUUUCAUAACCCUGCUGUGAGCUAACUUCAAAAACACCACCAAUUCUACUACUAUUACCUCAAACUAGAUAAUAGUUAGUUUGCUCACCAUCCAAAGCUUUAAGCCCAGCCAAUUCCUGAACUAGGGUUGAAGUUAAUGACCACAAAGACUCUCCUUCACCUCUUUCGCAGCUCCCUCACAGCCCACCACAUCAGCCAACAUGAAGAGGAGGAGAGAAAAGAGCUAAUUCCAUUGACUUCUACUCAAAAAUAGAGAGAAGUUUUAAAGAGAGAAAGAUAGGGCUUACUGUCACGCCCCGGGACCGGCGGAGGCCCUCCCGGUAGCGUGCCCAGACCCGCCAUAUGUCUACACAUAUAAGGCGUCUACAAGAAAAGCGGAAGUAAAAGCAAGGGAUGGAUCAAAUAAAAGAAGUGAAAUAACAAGCAACUAAUGAUAUCAGAGCGAGUAAAGUUCUAACAUCUAUACAAAUAGUAAUAGAACAUAACUAAUACACAAAAGUAAACAUAAGUUAUACAGUAUCAGCCUCUAAUACAAAAAUGGUGGUCUCUAGUACACUGGUAAAACUCUCAACCUCUCCAAAAUAAAGUACAACGAGAGGUAGACCACCUAGCAAGUCGUCCUCGUAGGAAGCUAGCACGAAGCAACUCCCUUCCCGCGGUCCCUGGCCUCACCCUGAGUGGAAGGCUCUGAAAAACAUCGAGAAAAAGAGGGCGUGAGAACUAUAAUUUAUAGUUCCCAGUGGGCAAUUACUGACCUCAGCUCAAUGCACCACUAGGCCCCAAAAGAAAAGGGUAAGUAACGUAAUAACAAUGAGCAAUAAAAAGAAGCAUGUAAUAAACUGCUGAAAGUGAGAGCAUAAGUAAAAUGCUGUACUACUAUAUCCCUCAUAAGCACGAUGUCAAAAUGUUGUACAUCUAUUCUAUCUUAAGGAAAAGUAACCAAUGGCAAUAGUUUACUGUUACAACCCUUUAUUCAUACCUGAUGUAUAAGCUCUAUCAUGGCAACCAAGUAUACUGUGGUGAAAUAGGUAACUGUCAAGUAUACUACAUGUCUCAACCCUAGGCUAUAUGCAUGUAAAUGUAAUCCAACUACUAAACCUGUCUGGUAGUGAUUGUUCAUUCUCAAACCGUGUCGAUUUCCAUUUCCAAUUAGGGACCUACCCAAGGUAGUCCAGCUUGUGCCGCCUAAGUGCCUGUGGUAGCCCAACAUCCCUACUCUUGGAAUGUGUCUGUCCCACUCGACCCCGUAGGCUUCUCAAUACCGCACGAGCGAACAUAAGUCGCGUAGGCUAACUCCGGAGUGCCGGCUUGUAGGGAGCGACCCUCACAAGCAUGUGCGAAUGAGCACAAAUGGCAAGCAAGCAAGGUCAAAGUCUCAAGUACUCUACUCUCGUGCCUCUCACAUGGCAAGGCCACUAGCAUCCCAAGGAUCUAGUCCAAAGUCUCAAAGUGACGCUCCAACGCACACCCUCGCUUAGUGCCUCUUUAUGACACUUAAGCAUCACGACUAAUCAUGCCCAAUUCAUGUCCCGUAUUCCAAUUAACUAGGUUCACUUUAGCCCGGGCCCCAUGCCUCUUUAUGACAUUGGCCCAAUCUCAAAUAGUCCAAGUUCUCAAGCCUUCUCUAGGCCUCUAAAAUUCCUAAUGUCACAAUUGGCAUAUAGGUUAAAUGCAUGAAAGCAAGGUUCAUUUCCAUAAUAGGAAUCAUGGUUCCCAAUCAUAACUAGAAUGCUAAGUCUCACAUGCAUGCACUCUACCACAUAGGGGUCUAAAAUUUCACUAUACAUAAUAUAUGCAUGUUAAGCAUUCUAAAAUUCAUAUUAAAUACAUUUAACAUGGAAAUGCAUGAAUUUCUAUUUUUCGAAACAUAUUUGCCAAAUAUGAGCAUUUCUCAUAUCAUAGGCUAGGUCAAACCCACCGAACCGUCGCGUGCUCCUUCGAUUCGCCGAACGGAGUUGUCCACGAGUCUCAAAAUACCCUAAAAGUAAUCAGCGAAGAGAUACGAGAGCAUUACGACCAACCAAGAGAUCAAACAUUAACCUAGAAGCAAAAAGGGCCAAAAUUCACCUCAAGAGGAGAAAUCUCUUCCAAAGCUCCAAAAGAGAGCUAGAACCCUUCCAAUCCAAGCCCAAGGAAGGUUCUAAACCAAUCAAUCUAGCCCCAAAAGCCCUAGAUCAAAAAGCCCCAAAAAUCAACCCUAAUACCCAUUCUAGGGUUUCAAAUGGCAAAAUCUACCGAAACAAGAAUCAAAGGGUAGAAUCAAAGUACUAACCUCUCUAGAUGCCUCAAAACAAGCUCCAAAUCUUCUAGGGUUGAAGAUUGGUCCACCACCAAGCCCUACAAGCAAGCUCCAAGCCUUGCAAAGGUGGGAAAGAGAGAAAGGGGUUGAGCUCCAAGCUCCCUCAAGCUAGCUCCUCUUCUUCUUCUCCUCCUUCUUCUUCUUCUUCUCUCUCUAGAAAGUGUAGGGAGAGGGUGAGAAUGAGAAAAUGAGAGAGGGAAGAGGAGGAAAUGGCUAAUAAGCCCAUCUAGUGUAACAAAAUCCGGAGAGGCCCCUCAAAAACCCGAUAUUGCAACAGCCCGAACUGGGCAGUUUUCGCCCAGAGGGACCGGUCUCUCCCCAGCAGGGACCGGUCUCUCGCUGCGAACCCGAAAAACCAACGUUCGGGAACCGGUCUCUCCCUGCGCGGGACCGGUCUCUCACUGCGUAGACGCGCUCGGGGACCGGUCUCGCCUGCCAGGGACCUGUUGCCUCAGGGCUGCCGCAACACUGUUCACUGGGGGACCGGUCUCUCCUUCAAGGGAGCGGUCCCCGAGAGUAAAAACUCUCAGGACUUGUCCAGAAUUUCAGUUUUCGAACUUUUUAGGUCGGAAAACAUUCUACGACCCUCCACCAAGUGUGGAAAAGCUCGAAACACAUCCAAACACUCGAACCUCGCAAUUUGCAAAGAUCCAGUGUGUUACACUUACCCUGUGUUCCCCAGAGCCAAAAUAGAUAAGGACCAAGUGAGAAAGUCGAGCUGGGGUUAAAUGGAUAACCAUCAAAGCGAAAUUACCAAAAAGACCCUUAUCCACAUUCUGUUGCACUGGGUACCGGUACUCCCCUUAGUUGGUACCGGUACUCUAUGCAAAAUCCUGCAUUUCGAAAUUCCAAUGCACUUUCUCUCUUCCGACCUCUUGGUCACUCCAGUAACAUGCUAAAUACCUCUCGACAACCCCUCAAAAGACGUGGAAUAGUUCCAAUUGUUAUUCCAACACUCGAGCUUCGCACUUUGCUAAAGUUCAGUAUGCUACAGCAGUGUAAAAGAAAAUUUAAAUAAUACUUGAUUUUAAAAACUCGAGAUCCGAUCUCAAAAUCAUGCAAAAUAGGAUCCAUCAUAUAUUUAAGAUUAAAACAGAGAAAAGGAAGAUCUAAUUUUAUCCUUUAUGUGAGUAGAUUUAUACCACAAUCUAAUGAUCAUGGAAUUGAUUCUCUCUAAGCCGCAUACAUGUUCGACCUCCACAGAUAUCCACACAAGGUUGCUGAUCUGAUCGAAGUCAUCACCGGGGUGCUAGCUCCUAUGCGGAAAAUGUCUUUCUUGCUAUAGAAUCUCUACUUGAGGAGAGAGCACAAAAGAGGAGGAGAAGGGUAGCAGAUAGGAUUUUUCUCAAAAACUUAUGUAUCAUAUGAAGAGUGAUAUUGUAAUGUACCAGAUUUUAAUAUAAAAAUUAAGUGUAAAUAAAAAUAGUGGAAGAUACCAUUUUUAUCGGACUUAAAGAAGUAAAAUAUAGAUCGGAAAUGACUUGUGCUGAAAUCGGAAUGGAAACAGAAGAUUUAGAAUUUUCUGUAUAGAACAGGGCUGAUAUUUUAGCAGAAAAUACACAGUGUCAAAAAAUUACGAAAACUGGAGAGUAUGUCAUAAUUAUUUUUAUGAGGCUAGAUUUAAAGUUUCAUAUCAUUCCGACACCCGGAAAGUGAAAAAUAAAAUCCGACUGCUAUCUCCUAGAGAUUACAGUUCGGUAGAGCUUUCGGUGACCAAAAUUGGUCGAACUGAGAAGUUAAGAUAUCGCUCACUUUAUUAGUCUUAACCGAGCCUAACUGUCAAAUUUGAGUGCAAACGGACAUUCAGAAAGGCUCCUACGAAAAGGAACAGAUUCUGAGCUGCUAAACUGCUGGUUGUAAUAGUGUUUUGAGGUGUUGACUAUAAAAAGAGGACUUCAUGUCUUAUUCUUCUUCCUCAGCCGAGCAACACCAACACACACACACGCACACAUGGUGAGGAGAAAGAAACCCUCCCUUUCUCUCUCUUAAUAUCUCCCUCAUCUCUGUAGAUCUCUCUCUCAAAUUCGCAGCAUUGGCGGAGAGCGAGCUUGGGAACGCGUGUGGAGCGUCGGAUCAAGUCUUCGUGCGCCCGGUUGAGCGACGUGCUUCCGACUCGGCGUUCAAUAUUUGGUAAGUAUUUAGGAUUUGGCUAAUUCCUUUAUACUUAGUGUUCUAGUAGCCUCUAAUGCGAUGUUAGCAUAUUUUCUCCGAAUUUGGGUUAUUUGGAGCAUGUGUAGAGGCUAGGGUUUAAAAUGAGGGUUUGGAGAUUAGAGGGUUUUGAUCUAAUUAUACCCUAUUGUUCUCUAAUUGAAGGUUAGGGAUGGGCCAUUGAUGACCGUAGGUCGCGGAUUAGCGGGUGUUCGAUUGCCAAUUGCGAAUUUGUGUCGAACCGGGCGGCGUGCGCCGCGGGAGGCCAAUUGCAAGUGUCGACAAGCAAUCGGAAAGCAUUGCAAGGUGGGUUGUGCUCACCGAAGAUACUAGCUUGCUUCCAUGUCGAAGUGGAAUACGGUUUUAUCCUUAAUGCAUAUAUAUAUAUUUGGCAGGUUGCAAAUGAUAAUAUGAUGCAUGAUAUAGAUGCUAGAUGAAUGCAUAAUAUAAUUGCUAGAUGAAUGCAUAAUAUAAUUGCUAGAUGAAUGCAUGAUAAAAUUGCUAGAUGAAUGCAUGAAUUAUAUUAUGUUGGAGGAUGUUACCUACCAUUGGAAUAUGUUAGAUAAAACAUGCAUGUUGACAUAUUGUGGAUUAUGUUGAAUGAACUAUGCAUGUUGACAUAUCAUGAGAUGCUAGUUGAUAUAUGUCCAUGUGGAACUUGGGUCGAUAAACUCUUGGUGGAUUAGAGAAUUCGAUAUUGAAAAACAAGAAUAUGAAAAUUAUAAAACUCGAUAUGGACAAGUAGAAUGUCAAGUAGAUCGAGUGGCAUUUGGACUAGUGUGGCAGAAGCACUAUGACCCUUGUAGACAGGGUAUCCUCAAUUAACGAGGAUUGGAUCACACUCACUUACUCUGUUUUCGCAUGUCGGUGGUCGCUCCACCGAAGCAGUGGUCUCCGGAGUACUUCACACUAGAGGCAGACGUAGUUGUCCCGCAGACAGUCUCGGUGUGCGAGUACGGAUUCUCCUCACCUAUGAGAUUUUGAGAAGUGAGUCAAGGCGUAACCUUCGGGUGAGCCAAGCAGAUUGGGUGACAAGCAUAUGAGCUGUAGUUGAAUCCCAAUAGAGUGGAUUCGGUAUCCCAGUUGAGUGGAUUUAAGGCUAAGGUGCAUGUGAGACGUCCUUCAACUUGAGCCUGGCUUUGCGCGGUAUUCCGCGGAUGAUUGACUCAAAACCGAGUUGGGUGGAUAGCUUUAUAAAGGUAGAUGAAACCUGGUGAGCAAAUAGCAAAGGUAGAUGAAACUUUAUGAACAGAAUUGUAAUUGACAUGAAUCUAAAAUAAAGAAAAACCUAGAAGUCAAUUGGAUGAGCUGUGGAUAGCAAUACAGAAAGUAGAUCUACUUACAUCUUUGCAUGUUGAGUUGCAUGAUUUGCAUUGUGGUAUGUUGCGAGGCAUGAACAUGAUAAAUGUUAGUUGUAUAAAAUAUAUGAUGAUAUAUAUAUAUAUGUGGAUAUCUGUUGGACUAAUAUUUUGCAGUGCCUCCUUCGGACCUGGUGGGUCGAGCUCUUCCCUUGGGUGGUCGUACCCACUGGAAACUAUGGACAAUAGUUCUCACCCCCCGUGUUGUUUUUGGGGUUACAGAUUCACAUGUAAGCGACGCGACGGCGCGAGGAAAGGGCGUAACUCCGUAGAUAGCGCCCUACCACUGAGACCAGAGAUAGCGGUUCCCCAAGUCAGCCUAGCUAGGGGUGUAGAAAAGAGGAGAAACAAUAUUGUAAUAAUCUUGAUUGUAUUUGGAAGAAAAGAAAGCGAAAAUGUAAUUGUAAAAACAUGUGAUUUGAAUGCUUGUAAUAGCUUAGUUGUUUUAUGUUUUUGAUACUUCCUUAUGCAAUCUCUGAUUGAAUACUAUUUCUAGUUGGAACCUCGUGAAUUGUAUUGAUUGUGACGCCUAGGACGUACAGGAAAAACUCUGUCCGUUCGGCGGGCUGUUAGCAGGCCCGAAUCCGACCAAAUAGGCGGGUCUCAGGGCAUGACAGAUAUAUUCCUCUUUUAUAACAUAUAAUAACCAUUAAGGUUAAGAACAAAUGUAGGGUUAAGCUUAUCUUAUCCUUAAUCGGCUCCAUCGAUUAAAUCCUAAUUUAAUUCAACUCGAAUUAGACCUUAAUUUGAUUAAAUCAAAUUAAUAAUACAAUAUUUACACAUAAGUCCUCUCACAACUUACUAACUAUUACUAAAUCCUCUCUUGCAACAUUUGCACUUUCAUACCACUAAUUUGUAAGAAUUAUAAAUUAAUCCAAUUAUCAACAUACUAACAAUUAGGUUCUUUAACGAUUAAAAAAUCGUGAUCCAGCUAUCUGAUCAGUUACAACCUCUUAUGUGUGUAACCUCAUAGGUUAUAUUCUAUCUGGUAGUGUAAUAUAUUGUGAUCACCAUCAACAAUAUUACUAAAACUCUUUCAGUGGGUUAGAACAAUUCCAACUCAGCCCAAUAAGAAUUACUGAUCAUCCAAGUAACUCUCAUGAGUCUCACAAUCUACUAGUAACGCGUAGCAGCAUGUAGUGGCAUUCCAGUAGAAUGAAAUACUGAACCUCUAAGUGUAACAUACCAGAUCCCUCGUAAAUCGUGCCGAGUUUCGUCAAAACGAGCGGAACGCAGAGUUAAAUGAGUUAGAAUGGACCCUAAGUUCAUUAGAGUUCACAAGUGGAGCUAAAAGGGACCCGAGAGAGUAAAUCUGGAAAUCUGGCUAAGUCCUAGAUUUUGUGCUCUCAGGGACCGGUCCCUGAAGGAGAGAUCGGUCCCCGUACGCGUAGCAUGCCAGGAAUCCUGAGGCAUCCGGUUCCUGGUGGUGAGACCGGUCCUCGGGAGACCGGUCCCUGAAGGGCAGACCGGUCCCUCGCUGCGCAGCAGCUGAAAAACCCUUAAAUUUGGCUAAGUCCUGGAAAACCCAUGUUCGGGAACCGGUCCCUGGUCGGGGAGACCGAUCGCCGAAGGCGAAAAAUGCCCAGUCUAGGCAGAUCAAUGGGAAACAAGUGGAGGGGCUUAAGUGCAAUUGUCACAACACCUUAUAUACUCAUCCCCUUCACUCCCACAGCCAUUUCUCCUAUUUUCUCUCAUUUCCUCUCUUUCUCUCUCUAGAACUCUUGCUCUAGGGCUUGGAGAAGAGGAAGAAGAAGCAAGGGAAGGUGGAUUUGAAAGCUUUGGUGGGUUCUACAAGCUCUCCUACAAGAGGGACUUGGAGGAGCUUGGGCUAAGGUGAGUUUUUGCUAUAAAUAAGUUUAGGGCUUGGUUUUGAUCCCUAAGAUUUGGAGUUUUGGGUUGUUUUUAGCCUUGGGAGCCUUCUAUAGGCUUUGAACUCCAUGGAACCCAUGAGAGCUCAAGUGCUCUCAUGGUGGUUGGCUAGGGUUCACCAUAGAAGCCCUAGGGUUGGUAUCAAAGAUCUAGAAACCUCACUAGAAUGCUUCUUAUAUGAUCCUAAACUAUUGUUUGCUUAGGGUUGGGAUCGAUUCAUGGGGAAACCCUAAAUGACCAUGUUAGGGCUUGAAAAUUAGGGCUUUUGCCCUAGGAUCUUUCGGGGGCAAAUUGACCCUGUAGAAACCUAAUUGGGGGUGUUCUAAACACGUGGGACAACUCCGUUUGACGUUACGAAAACGUUUGAGAAUAGUUCAUGUAUACAAGGGCCUAAUUUGGCACCAUAUUGGAUUGUAGGACGCGGAACGUCGUUCGUAAGGUUUGGGAGACUGUCGCGUUCGUUUUCUACUACCUCACAAGGUGGGGGGUGCACGCCGGAAUCGUUGGAUUCCCUUCUAUGUCUAUUUCUCUAUUCUUGAGCAUAUGGUUGUUUAUUCUUUCAUGCAUAUUAGGGUUAAUUCACAUGUGAACUUUGGUUGUUUUCAUUAUAUUUAUUCCAAGUGUAUUUGAAAUAGAGAGAAAUGGAACCAUGAUGGACAUGUGUUAUUGAACCCUAAGAAUUGCAUGUUAGUGAGACUUGGACUUAGCACAAGUAAACAAAUGGUGACAAUGACAAUAAGGAGAUAGAUUGGCUUGAAUAAAUGGACGUUAGACAUAGACUUAACUAUAGUGGCAUUGUGACGAGAUCGACUAGAAAGUGACAUGAGAACAUAGGUAGAAAACCUAUCACAAAAGUGGCAUCGUGACAAGUGGCUUAAUAUCCUCAACGCGGGGAUUUGAUCGACACUCAUAAUAAGUCUUGGCUUGAGGGAGGUCGCUCCUCCUCAAGCGGUGUGUUUCCGAAAAUCAACACCACAGGGAGCGAGGUCCCUGAAGACGGUCCCUCGGGUCGGUAGUGCUUGGAGCCUCCCCGGUUAAGAAAGGGAUUUUGGGUUAUGAGUUUUGGGGUUAACAAGGUUAACCGGUGAGAUUGGGUAAGAGCCAAAGCUUAUUUACGAAUUGAGCAUGCAUGCACAUUUCCUUAUCGCAUUGAGUAUUUGUAUCCACUGACAUUCUCCUGCAGGCAUAGUAUUAGAUGCAUUAGUACUGGUUACUUUUCUUUCCUUGAAAUACUUAUGCCUGGAUAGACCUAGUGGGUAAGUCGGCGAGGUCGGAUGCCGAACCCACUGGGAACUUUGUUGUAGUUCUCACACCACUAACCCUACAGGUCCUAGCACGAGCGGGGCGGCGGAGGACCGAGGCAAGGGUAAAGCGCCGUAGAUAGCGGCCACCGGGACUCAUGCAUUUUGUAGCCUUUUCCCUUUUGUUAUACAUGCAUCAACUUCUUUUGUUGAUUUAGAGAUGUAAAGUUGUAAACAAUCGUGUAAUUUUGGUGGAUGGCUAAAUGUAAAAAGGAAAUGAUGUUUGAAUGCAAAUGUAAUAGUUUUAUUUACUUGUAUUUGGUUCAAAUGAAAUCAAGUAUCAUGUAUGUUGUAUAUUAGCUUAGAGCUUUCGCUUCUGUUGUUGCUCGCCCUCGUGCAAGCCUUGUAUUAUAUAUGCAAUUCUCUUGUUGAUUGCCUAUUUAUACAUGUUGUUAGAGCCUUGGGCGGACAGGGGAGGCUCUGUCCGUUCGGCGUCUGUUGACGUGACCCGAACCCGACCAAAUUGGCGCGGAUUGGGGCGUGACACUAAGUAUAGUUAACGUAUGAUACAGUCCUUCUAUCAUAAGUUCCGACUAGACAGAGAUCAUGGAAUAGCUCGUCAAACCACAUAGUCUAUCAUGUGUCAAAUUUAUUCGACUCGUAUUUCUAAUAUCGAAAACUCUUUCCAUUAUUUACUCUGCUCUAGCCAAGGUCUUCAAAAUUCGGUCUCAUAAAUCACAUAAGACUAAUACCCUUACUUACUAAGAGAGAAAGAUUUCAUAUAGGUACACAUCCAAUUCCUACAAUGAACAUACUCAACCAACAUGCAUCGCAAAGACCCAAAUGGGUAGGGACAAAGUCUAUAUACAGUCUGUAACGACCCGACCCGCUAGCAAUAAUAACUCGUUGGGCCCAAACCACCGGCCCAAAAUGCAUAAGCCCAGUUAUUAUUGUUAGCGUGUAGGCCUCAUAUAAACUGAUCAGAAUCAGUAUCCCAUCCGAUGUGGGACUAUUGGGGGCGUUACAAACUCUCCCUGUUUAGACCCUGACAUCCUCGUCGUGUCCAAACCAGAUCACAGACAGACAGACCAGGACUAUUACCACGCGAUGUGAGAUUCUAGAGGUGGCUCCUACGGGUUCAAGAGGUGGCUCCCACCAAACCCGUUGGUGUAGUACUUUGUCCCGCAUAGCACUUAGUUCUCACACUUCCGGCUGGUAUUCGUCUCUGAUACCAAUUGUAACGACCUGACCCGCUAGCAACAAUAACUCGUUGGGCCCAAACCACCGACCCAAAAUGCUUAAGCCCGGUUAUUAUUACUAGCACGUAGGCCUCAUAUAAACUGAUCGGAAUCAGUAUCCCAUCCGAUGUGGGACUAUUGGGGGCGUUACACAGUCAAAUUACAGAAAACUCAUUAUGAAUAGCCGAGGCACCACAAGUCAAAAGACCAAUCACAUUAUUACAAAAUUGAAUAAGUCGCUGACGAGUGAGUAGACAUCUAUGUGACUUCUCGUGUUGGUCAUGCUCAGUAUUUUUAUUCUCUAACAAUCACCUACACAUUCGCUUUAGUGUCUCCACACCGUUGACUCGAGACUCAUCUACUCUAAGGGGAAGCGACUUGUGCACCAAUCUCAUUUGAUCAAUCAUCGUCGCCCUGAUCAUCCAUCGAUCAGGAGCAUUUAGGAAUUAACCACCAAUGAUACGUGUCUUAAAUUCUCAACUCUCGAGAAAAUAUGUCAUCAUUUUAUUGAUUUUCUAGAUGAUUCAUGGACACAUAUACAACAUGCAUGAAAAUAAAAAUUCAUAUUCAUUUAUAAUAUAUAAAAUCAAAUAUAAAUUUAUAUCCUACAAAAAAUAUGUGUCGGCCGGCCUGAUUGGCUUCUAGGGCAUACAUCUAACAAAAUUUGCAAUUAAGCUCUCAUAAGCAUCUUGCUUUGCUCCGGGAUACUAUGCCCAAAACACAAAAAAUUGGUUCAAUUCUUGAAAUUCAUCGCCAGAACCUUGUCGUUCCUCCAAAUAAAGUUGUCCCCCGAGUUUUACUAACAUUCAGUUAGAGUUUUCAAAGUGUCAAAUAAAUUUUAAACCCUUAAAAUACAAAAACCCUAAUUUUCUCUAGGGUUUCCUAAACCCACUUUAAACCCUCCAAACUUCUUGACAAACCUCUAUCAUUUGUAGUCCAAAUUCAUCCACGAUUUGUAAAAAUCUAUUUUCUAUAGUUAAAUUCAAAAGUCUAACUCUAAACUUUAGAAACUCACCUUUGCCCUAACUUUUGCAAACUUUUUCUUGCUUCUUAUAAGAAGCUAGCUCACCACUUUCAGCUCACCUCUUGCUUAAUGAUCUCCCAGGCUCCCAAGUGUUGGAGAAGCUCCAGUGGGAAGAGAGAGAGAGGAAAGGAGUGAGAGAGGAGAGAAAAGAAGAGUAUUUCUCUUGUGUACACAAGUGAGAGAGAAAGGCUGUGGUCUCCCUUUUAUAAGGGUAUUGCAACAAUUGCAAGUAACAUCCCUAAUCUCUAUUAUUUACAAUUAGUCAAAAUGUAAUUUCAUGGCCUUGACUACCGAUGCUCAAAUUUUAGUACCAGUACACGAGGUAUAGUUCCGGUAUCACCAGCCCAGUUCUGCAUUAUUCGAACAUUUGGUUUCUUCCUACGCAACAAAGUUCUGGUAUUCCAUUUUAGUACCGGUACUUACUACAAAAAUCUGCAAUUCAGCAAAUUUAACUCCCUGAAGUCCAUUUUCGUGCCGAAUAUACUAGAAUACUCCCCGAAACUCGCUAGGACUAUUUGAUUAGAUUCUUAAGCUUACACCUCACCCGAACUCCAUUGUUUGCAAAAGUUCAGUGCACUACAAACAUGCUUAAAGAUUAAAAAUAGGAUUUUAGUUAAGUUAGAUAUAGCAGCAGUGAUUUGAGGAUUGUGAUGGUUUUGUGCAUCAGGAGUUCCGUUGACUUAGUUGUUGGUAGUGGUGCUAUUGAGGGGAUGUGUUGGGCAUUCUCUUCCUACCAUCCUUGGAGCUUGUCUAGAAGGGUGUCUUGUCGCAGAAAUCGGGAACUAAUUUCUAUAUCCAUAAAAUGUAUAUUUCUCUAAGAUAUAGAUAACCUUUUUGAUAUGAUUGUGAUAACAAUAUAAUGACAUCUACUUGACUAUGUUAAUAAGAGAUUAUUGAUGAGUAGAGGAUACUGUCAACAUAUUGAACUAGUUGUAGAUAUCCUGCAUGUUUAUUCUAUGAGACCAAUUUUCUUGUGUCAUAACUAUAUAUUGUGAUUUGUGAAAAUGUGAAAGAUGUCAGGAGGCACAUAACAUGUGAAUUUGUAAACGAUGCCAGAAGGCUCAUAAUAAGUGAAAAUUUAGAAAAAAUACCGAAGGACAGAUAAACUAAUGCAUAAAGUGAAAUGUGAUAUGAUAGUGCCAGAAGGUAUGUGAACAAUAUAAUUAUGAUCUUGUUGAUCAUCGCAUUUGACUACAGCAUGCAAAAGCCAAAUUGAGCUCGGCAAUGAUAUGUGAUAUAAUACUCGGUUGCAUCGUGCCCCGUGAGUAGCCCUCCAAAGAUUGGCCUAGUGAUAUAUAUAGUUGAGACAGUAGUGUGCAUAUAGCGGAUCACUAUAAGUAGAGGCUGGACAUGAGGCCGUGACAGCUUGACCGGACUUAUUUGUCGAUCAAUACGAUUGGGUGAUACAACAUUAUUAUCAAUUGUUCUAGUUGAUGCAUAUGAUAUUUGAUUUAUAGUUUUCAAUAUAUAUAUAAUUGUAGAUGCAUGAUAGUAAUUAUUUACUUUCAGUUCAGUACGUCAUGUUAUUCAUUCCGCUCAUUUUACUAUUGAUGUCUCUAAUAGACCUAGUGAUGUAGGUCGUCAUUGUCAUCGACUAUACAGGAUUAUUUUUCACUAGUUUUCAUGCCCUCUUAUUAUUACUUUUAUUUCAAAGCCCUCACUAUCGAUGUAACAUACUGGACCUUUGCAAAUUGCGAGGUUCGAGUGUUUGAUCUGUGUUCCGAAUUUUUUCAGAUAUUCUGGAGGGUCGUUGACAGUAUUCCGACCUAUGGCUCGUAUCCCGAGAAUUAUAGUAUUUAAAGUAAUGCUAAGGCCACCAAAGCGAUGGACUUAGGCUACUUUCGGGUUGCAAUUUUUUGGAAAGUGUACCGGUACACCUUGAUGGUUGUACCGGUACAGAAAGUAUACCAGUGACAACUCGAUGGUUGUACCGGUACAUAUGAGUUUUUCUGCCAACCCGAGCCUCGGGUUCGCGCAUACGCGUGAUUUGUACCGAUACACUUUCCCGUGUACUGGUACACUUUGCAGAAAAUGCUAUUUUUGUGGAGAGGUGUAUUUGCAUUUAUUGCAACCCUAUUUAUACACACCCCAGCCCCCUUAGGAGCUCUUUUGAGCCCUAACCAGUGGAGAACAAGGUAAGCUCUCCCCCCCUUGAUUUCUUCUCCAUUUUUGAUGUGUUUUAGCUAGUUUUGAUCUCCUUUUCUAUACUUUUCUUGCUUCUUGUUCGGUUUCCUCCAUGGGAGAAGCCUUAAGCUCGUGGUUAGAGCUUUGUGGAGGGAGGAUCUUCAACCCUAGCUUACUUGAAGCCUUGUUUUGGAGCUCUUGUGAGGUUGGUAAGCCUAAUCUACUUCUUGAUUCAUGUUUUAGUAGCUUUUACUAAAUGAAACCCUAGAUUUAGCAUAUUAGGGUUAGUAAUGGGGAUUUUGGAUUUGAGAAUUUUGGGGCCCAAUUGAUCUUAUUAGAACCUUUGUUUAGAUUGGAUUUGAGAGCCUCUAACUCCCUUUUGGAGAUCGUGAGAGGUUUCUUCGCAUUCGGUGAGUUUUCUUCACCUUUGCUUGAGUUGCUUAAUAUUUGAACAAAUGAUUAUUCGUAACGUUCUUGUAUCCCUCCUUUUGUUAUCUUUAGGGUACUUGGAGAGUAGUGGACACCUUCGUCGGCACAAACGAAGGGUUUCGAGAAGUCACGGUGGGUUUGACUUCAUGAACAGGGAAGAAAUAUCCUCUAUGUGUUUUAUACUUGUCGUAUCAUCGAGAUGCAUGCAUAUUCAUGCUAGAUAGGAUUUUUAUAAAUUUUAGAAUACUUAAAAUGUAGGUGUUAUGUAUCAUGAAAAUUCAACUCUAUAUAGUAGAGCCUUAUAUGAUUAUACAUGUAUGUGAGUAGUAUUCUUUCUUGUGGAUUGGAAACAUGUCUCAUAUGAUGAAAAUGACUCGAAUUAUGUAUUCUUGAACACUAAACUCAUGUUUGGACUUAGUGAACAAAAGUGCCAUAAAGUGACAACGUGAUAGACAUGAUGAUAUAGUGAUAGGCCAUUGAGAGAUUUGCUACAUUUCAUGUUUUAGACAUGAUGACUUGAGACUUGAGACAGACUUUUAUGCUUGCUUGCCAUUGUGCUCAUUCGCACAUACUUGUGAGGGUCGCUCCUCACAAGCCGGCACUCCAGAGAUAGCAAUCGCGACACAUACUCGCCCGUGCGGGAUUGGGCGCCGAAAUGGGAUGCCGUGGGGGAGGCUCAUUCCUAGAGUGGGGAUGUUGACUACUACGGGGCCAUUAGGCACGGCGCAAGCCGGACUACCUACGGGUAGAUCCUAUGAGAUUUGGAAUAAGUGGAACCAAUUUGUAAAUGAACAAUUUGACAAGUUAGUAAACAUUGACAAUUUACUAGUUAUCUGUGGACAUCAUAGUAGUUGCACUUAUGCAUAUUUAUGGUACAGUAGCAUUCUUACUUAUGCAAAUUCAUACUAAGUAGAGAUAUCAUGUUGUAGUAAACUUUUAUAUUUAUUUGCUUAUUUUUUCAUAUUGCUUUACUCGUACUUACCCCUUUUCAGCUUUUGGACCUAGUGGCGCAUUUCACUGAAGUCAGUAAUUGCCCACUGAAAACUAUUAUUUAAUAGUUCUCAUGCUCUCUGUUUAUGAUUUUAUUUCAGAGCCCUCUACACCGGUGGAGGCACGGGAUCGCAGCAAGGGGAUCGCUUAGCUAGCUAGCAAUGAGCGUUUCUUUUGCUUGUUAGGUGAUUUACUCUCCUUUUUGUUUGUAGUUGAGAGUGAGAGGUUUUGUAUCCAUGUAUAGAGACCACCAUUAUUAUACUUUUAGCACUUGUGUUUUGGAUGUUCAUUGUACUAUUUUAUGGUUACUCUUAGUGGAUUUGUUAGCUCUUUUAUUUGCCUCUAUAUCUCUUAGAAUCUAGAUGUUGUACUAUGCUCUGAUACUUCUAGAUGUCGUUUUUAUUAUCACUUUAUUUAUCGUAGUUUUGUAGACGCCUUAUAUAUUUUAGACGUAUGGCGGGUCUGGACACGUACCAGGCAGGCUUCCGCUAGGCCCCAAGGGCGUGACAAUCGACGAGUGAUCGAGAUAAGUGAAUGCAAGCUAGAUAGCAUCUCCUACCAGAUUAUGUGUGUUAGAUGAGGACCAUCGAAUGUAUACAUUGUAUAGUUGACUGUACAUUUUGAGCCGAGGAUGCCAGUAGAGUUGUAUUUAUUAUUUUGAUAUUGUAUGGAUGGUGUAUGUACAGUGUGUGACACCCCAGCUUCCUAUGGGGCCACCCAUCCUAGGACUACUCCCGUCCUAACACGCUUAACUCUCUUAACCUCUUAAGCCUAGCCACCACCCAAAAUGCUUAUGCUGGGUUAAGAGUAUUAGCCCUAUUAUAUCUUAUAUAUAGGACUACCUGGGGUCUCACAAUCCCCCCUCCCCCCCUCCCCCUCCUUAAGCCCUGACAUCCCCGUCAGGCUCAGUCUUACAAAUAUCAGGCGAUGUGAGACUCGUCUCGCUAAUCUAAACCGACUUUGUGGGGGAGCCACGCUCUACCCACAACAGUCAACAACAUGAGAGCCUCGCUCUUCCUGCUGUACAAUCAUGGUUCAGCCGAGACUCAUCUCAUACUUCCGGCUGGUAAUUGCCUCUAAUACCAUCUGUGACGCCUCAACUUCCCAGGGGGCUACCCAUUCUAAUACUACUCUCACCCAAGCACGCUUAACUGCGGAGUUCCGAUGGGAUCUGGUGCUUUAGGGUUGGUAUGAUCGCAUCCUCCGCGAUGCCGACGCGACUGCCUGGGGUCUCACAAUCUCCCCCCUCCUCCCCAUUCCCCCCCUUUUAAGCCCUGACGUCCUCAUCAGGCUCAUAUCACAAAUACCAAGCGAUGUGAGACUUGUCUCGCUAGCCUCAAUCGACCUUGUGGGGGAGCCGCUCUCCACCCACAAUAGUCAACAGUAUGAGAGCCUCACUCUCCCCGCUGUAUAAUCCUGGCUCAGCCAAGACUCACUUCACACUUUUGGCUGGUAAUUGGCUCUGAUGCCAACUAUGAUACCCUAAUUUCCCAGAGGGUCACCCAUCUUAGGACUACUCCCGUCCUAACAUGCUUAACUCUCUUAACCUCUUGGGCCUAGCCACUGCCCAAAAUGGUUAAGCCGGAUUAAGAGUUCUAGUCCUAUUAUAUCUUUAUAUAAGACUAUCUGGGGUAUCACAAUCUCCCCCCUUAAGCCCUGAUGUACUCUCCCCACUGUAUAAUCAUGGCUCAACCGAGACUCAUCUCACACUUCCGGCUGGUAAUUGGCUUUGAUACCAUCUGUGACAACCCAGCUUCCCACGGGGUCACCCAUCCUAGGACUACUCCCGUCACUGCACACUUAACUCUAUUAACCUCUUGAGUCUAGCCACCACCCAAAAUACUUAAGCCGGGUUAAGAGUAUUAGCCCUAUUAUAUCUUAUAUAUAUGACUACCUAGGGUCUCACACAGUGGUAGCUAUACUUGUAUAGAUGUACUUAGACUUUGAUACAUAUUUUAUAUAUACACUCCUAUUAUAUAUUUUUGGACAUGUUAGUUGUUAAUGUUUCGUAUGUAUGGGAUGUCUUUAUGUAUAUGGCGGUUCUGUUAGCGUAUCCGGGGGCUUCCACUGUAGCCCUGAGUGUGACAACCUAGGUAGCGACCUAAAGUGUUCUUAGCAUUUAUUACCUGCAUAUAAUUGGUGCAUUUUUAAAACAUCUAGUGCUCUCUCUCUCUCUCUCUCUCUCUCUCUCUCUAGAUCUCCCUCUUUCUCUCGCUCGCUCGCUCGCUCUCGCUCUCUCUCUCUCUCUCUCUCUCUCUCUCUUGUGUGCUUUUCCUCAUGAGGCACCUUUUCCAUUCUUUUUAUUUUUAUUUUUUAUUUUUUUAUUAAAAAAUUUAAAAACUGCACAAUCCAUCAUUUAUCUUUUUAAAAUUUUAUUUUUUUCUAUUUUUUAUUUUUAUUUCUAUUAUUUAAUAAAAGAUUGAAAAAAAAAAACUACAGUACUUGGAAAGCGAGUCCCAACCCCACCCACGAGGCUUUCUACUUUGAACUUUAGCGUUUUUGCAAAUAGGCAUAUGACUUUAGCUCUUUUAUAAAUAGUCAUCUGAACUUUCAAUUUUGACAAUUUUAUUUACUAAACAUUAUAAAAUAGUUCAAUAGGCCCCUACUCAAUUAAAGUUAUUAAUUACACAAACUUUUUUGUUGUAUGUAUUGCAUAUAAUUUUAUAAAGUUUUAAAGCACAAACAAAUAUAGUUUCUAUUCUCUAAUAUAUAUAUAAAAAUGAUAGAAAUAAAAGUCUGGUUCAAUCUAUCUUCACUGUCAUGAUAUGAUGUACAUCAUACACCUCUUUAAUGCAAUGGUUGAUAAAACCCAAAUGAAUUUUUAGUAAAGCAAUGCUACUAGUAUGCUCUAAAUGGAUUGUAUAUGGUACAUUCUCUUUAUUCAAGGGUCAUCAUUUUCUAUUCAUCAAAAAAAAUUUUAUUACUCAAAGUUAUUUGAAUUUUUGUGAACCAUAUAUCCGCAUCCCUUUUUAGGUGUACAAGUAAAAAUUUCUUUUGUAGUAUUAAAAAAACUAAUAGGAUCACAUGAUAUAAUGUAGAUAACAAGAAAGCUAGAGUAUAAAUUUUACACCCUAGUUUAGGGUGUAUUACUUUUUUUAAAAUUGAGCAAUACUAUCUAUACACCCUAAAAAGAAUGUAUAUUGACAUACAUCUUGCCCACUUAAUGGAAGGAUAUAUAUGAUAUAAUCCUAUCAUCGGAAGCACCAACUCCUUUAUACUUUCGAUAGCAUAAUGGUUCUAUACUUUUAAAUUAUAUUAUAACUUUAUGGCAAGUAUAUUAUAUAGGAAUUAUAUAUAUAUUGUGACUUUUCAUUAAAUUUUACUUAAAGAAACAUCUACUCUAUAGAUAAGUGUAAGCCAAUAUGAUAUUUUUUUUAUGAAAAAGGGUUAAAUGCAUGCAGAUCCCUGCAAAUAUAGUAAUUUGUAAAUAUCUCACUGCAAAGUUCAACUUUCAUAUAUUGUUCCUACAAAAGUUCUGAUAUUUUCAAAUAUGCCCCUCUGGUUUGUUACCAUUAAAAAAUUAUUUAUAUUUUAACAGUAAAUAAAUUAAAUGUCAAUUUUACCAUCACAAAUAUGUCCCUCCAAAAGCCACAACAGUAUAAUAUAAGAAGAGUAAAAACAUCAAGUUACCUCAUAAACUAACCAAGGUUAAGUAUUUAACCUAUGGUUAACUAAAUUUUUCUCAUGAAUUCUAACGACAGGGACAUAUUUGAAAAUAUUAGGACUUUUGCUGGGACUAUAUAUGAAAGCUGACUUUGUAGGAAUAUAUUUGUAACUCACCAUAUUUACAGAAACCUGCAUGCAAUUAACCCUAAAAAAAUUAUGUCAUAAGAAUAAUUCUUUUUUUUUGGCUAUUAUACUAACAAAAAUGUUUUAACUUUAUUUCAUUAGUUAGCAUAGGAAUAACAUAUUUUCUUGCAUCUCAAUAUUUUAACUAUCAAUUUUUCGCAUGUCAAUAUAUAUUAAAAUAAUAUUUUAAGUAUAUUUUUAGAAUAUUAUUUGAGUUUUAAAUGCUAUUUCUUUCUAAAAUAAAUGUAUUUAAGAAAUAAUUUCUUUUUUGAUACUUAUAUUAUAUUUAAAUUUUAUGUUAAUUAAAAUAAUAUAUUUAAUUGCACAUACUCCUCAAUAUUACUCAAAAAAAUAAAGGCUUCUUCUUAUGUACUUCUCAAUAUGUUGACUGUCUCUAGCGCAAGUGGCAAAGGGCUUGGUGGUUGGUACCCGAGGUCUCGAGUUCGAAUCUUAGUUGAUUCACAUUUUCAGCUAAGUUUAUUUCUAAAUGAAAUAAACGAAACGGGUAUAUUUAAAGAAUAUAUAUACACUCCUCAAUAUUACUAAAAAAAUAAAAAAUAAAGGCUUCUUAUAUACUCCUCAAUGUUACUCAAAAUUUUUUAAAUUUACCAUUCUAUUUCCAAAAUACCCUUCUAAAUCUCAAAUCCCAUUAGUAAACCUUAGGAUCGGGAUAUAUUUAAAGAAACUUUUGAAAAUCAAUGAGAGCAUUUUGGAUCCACCAGAAAUAUACUAGAUAUUUUCAAAGUUUUGAAAGGUAAUUAAAUUAAAUAUUAUCCAAAAAAAUUUAAAUGGUUGGGCAUAUUUGAAGUGCCACGGAAGGUGGAUUCUUAGGCAGGGGAUGUUACGAGACAUAUAUUUCGUCCCAUUAUGAAGACAGAGUAAAGAAGGCGAAGCGGGAGCAAAGGCAGAUCUCGUGCCCCUCCAGAUCCGCUCAAUUUGCAUCACUAGUAGUGUACAAGUAAACAUACGUUUUAUUUAAUGUUCAGUACUUAAUAGCGCAAGCAACACUACCUUCAAAAAAAUGAAAAAAAAAAGGGUAAACUUGUAUAAAGUCUCUCCAAAUUUAGCACAUUUACCAACAGAUUUUAUAAACUUUUAAUUUUAAUAAACAAACCUUCUCAAAUUUAUAAAUUAGUUUAAUAAAUUUCUCUCCUCCAACAUAAUUGCUCUACUCCUAUUUGUUUGGAAAAUACAACCUGUACAUCGACCCACGUACAUAGGGUUCUACAUCUUAAUUAUAUCCUCCAAUCCAAGUAUUCAAAAAACCUUGUUCGAAUUUUCAAUAAAAAUAGUAGUAGUAAUAAUAAUAAUAAGACAAGUGAAACUAAUAAUAAUAAUAAUAAUAAGACAAGUGAAACUAGUAUAUAUGUACCACAAAGGAUUAAGAUGUUAACUUUAUAACUAUAUAUAUUUUAGAUGUACAAAUUAAUUAAUAGUAUUAUUCUAUUGGUGUUGUUACUUUCUAAUGUGGGCCUCCAUUUAUAGUAUAAUGGUUCUUCUUUGAACAGGCGGGUCACCAUCAAAGAAAAAUAAAUGUAGCUCUCGUUCGGAUCAACAAACAGCAUGAAUCAAUAAGAUAAAUGUAACGUAAAGGAAAGGAACAAAAAUGUAUGGUUGAAGGACAUCCGUCAAUAUCAUCGAUCUAGAACUUGGACCAAAGUCAGGGACAGGCGGCAGACAUCGCAUGUGGGACAAGUAAUUUUCUAGCUCAACUGCUCAUCGUUUUGUUAUCCAACAAUGUUGAGUGUCGUCUCCGCACAACCCCAACUAGAUCUCCAGGAUUACCAAAGCAUGCAUUGUUCUUUCUUCUUCUUCUUCUUCUUCUUCUUCUUCUUCUUUUCUCUCUCUUCUCUCUUUCCGGUGUUCUUCUACAGUACGUACCCCACUCUUAUAAUUAAACCGGCCUCUUAUAUAUUAUCGUCUAUUUAUAUAGAAUACAGAAAAUUUUGAUUGACUUAAUAUAUAUAGAGUUGCGCGCCAAUAUUAAUUACAUCUACUGAGCUCUUUUAUUGGAUUUAUACAAAUUAAUUAGCAAUACCUAUAUAUAUAGUAGUUAGCCUUGGUUUUUUGAGAACAAUAAUUGUUUACGUCUUUUAAUAUGAUAUCGGAGCAGAAAGUUCUAAAUUUGAAUCUGGCCAAACUAAAUCUGAGCAUUAUUAAUUUCCACCUACUUAAUUAAGCUAAUAUUUUGCACCUGUUUAAUCUGAGCAUUAAUUUAGUGUUUCGCCAAACUAAAUCUGAGCAUUAUUAGUUUACUGUUUUUUUUAAAGAUAGUGAAUGAAUUAUUGUAAGAAUUAUUUUAAACAGGUGCAAAAUAUUAGCUUNAUUAAUUUCCACCUACUUAAUUAAGCUAAUAUUUUGCACCUGUUUAAUCUGAGCAUUAAUUUAGUGUUUCGCCAAACUAAAUCUGAGCAUUAUUAGUUUACUGUUUUUUUUAAAGAUAGUGAAUGAAUUAUUGUAAGAAUUAUUUUAAACAGAGUCCUUUUUAAUCCUUGGGUUUUGGUUAGAUACUAAUCUAGUCCUUGUGGCUCUCACAUCUUGCACUUAAUUAAUAAGGGCCUACAUAUAGUCCUUAUGCUUUCAAAUCUUGCAGUUACGGAUAUACAGUUUAUGGAAUAUAAUAAUAAUUAAUAAUCAAGUCUCUUGGCUGGUUUGGUUUAUAAAUCUGAGCAAAACUGAGACCUAAUCGUCCACGUCAGUAUCUAGCGUAAUCUAAAGGUGUACUUUAGUCUAACUCUCGCGAAAGUCACGUGUAUGUUGGUACGUGAUCAACAACAUUUUCAUUUUCUAAUUUUAUUACCUGAGAAAAGUGAGUUUGCCACCUUAUAGUUAAGUACAUUUUGAAUAAUGCGCGAUUAAUGCUUCUUGAUAUUUCCAUCAAGAAGCAUUAAUCGCGCAUNUACGCGAUUAAAGCUUCUUGAUAUUCAAAAGAUAGGUGUGUGGGUGUGAGCCUUACGUACUAUUCAUCCGAAGGCUUUUUUUUUUUUUUUUUAAUACUAGCUAGUCUUAUCGAUCCUUUGUUUUUCAAUAUUAAAAAAAUCCAAAAAAAAUCGAUAUCUAAACUCUUUGAAAUUAAGGGAGGGUACGUAGUAGGAUUCGCACCGUAAUUUUGGAUAUACAAAUAGCGUGCAUUUUUCUAUUUUGAAUCCUCAAAAUUAACUAGGAUGGUAUAAUUGCUUAUGUACGUAGACGAUUAGAUGCCGUACGUUUUCAAUUGAUUUGAGAGAUGAAGAAUAAUAGGACUCGAUCACUACCAAUUAUUAGAGACCAGAAGAAGUUAUUAGACUGUUCUACUAAAUAGACUUGAAGGCCCUUCAUUACAGGGUUUUAAAUUAGAGGAAUUAAGAAAUUUGAACCCAAGUUUUAAUUUGGACUAAAACCGUGGUCCAAAUUUUGUUGUCUCUUAUUUUUGGGAGGGCAUUAUUUUUGUUAGGAAUUUAGAAACAUUAAUUUCAGCCCUGCCCAAAUCCCUGGCCCAAUCCACAAAGUCCGUAGCAAUGAGCUCAGUUUGUUCGGUUGGCUAACACGGCCCUUACUCUCCUCCUGGAGUGUUUUCUUGUUCUCUGACGUACAAAUUAUUUUUUUCUGAAAGCUAAUUAAACGUACAGUUUUUUUUUUUUUUUUUUUAAGAGAUAGGUAGCAUGCUAUUCGCUUCAUUUAUUUGUUUCGUUUAUUUUAUUUAGAAAUAAACUUAGCUAGAAAUGUGAAUCAACUAGGUUUCGAACUUAGCACUUCGGAUACCAACCACCGAACCUUUUGUUACUUGCACUAGGGACGGUCGGUUAAACAUACAAAUUGUUAGAGAGGAUAAAUGCAACUUUCUCCCAUUUGCAGAAAACCAGUUAAACAUUUAAAAUUUUAUAUUUUAUGUCCGAACUUUUGAUUGACUUUUUGGACCACAAUUAUCACAUUCUUAAAACAAAAAACAAAAAGAAAUAAAGAAAAAUCAAAUGCAACAAAUAAACUUGGUGUUAGUAAAGUCAUUCUAUGUUGAUAGAAUGUAUAGACACCCCCCUUAAUCUACAAUGAAAUAACCUUAUUCAAAACAAAUGCUACAAAAUAAAAUAAACUUUUUAAAAUAACCCAUAAAAAUUUUCUAAUUAGCCAAAUGAUCCCUUCAAAAUUUUAUUUGGCCAACUAACCCUUUUAAUGUUAGAUACAAAUGAGAAAGACAGUGAAUUGUUCAUCAUCUUUGGAAAACGGUAAAUUAUUCCUAGUUGGCAGAUUGUUAUUAUUGUUUAUAGCCUUUUUUUGAGGGGGGAUAAUUGCCUAUAUACCCCUCAUACGUUUGAAAAUAUCCGAUUUACCCCUACUUUUUUUUUUUCUUUCUAAAAUACCCCUAAUAUGUUCUACCGUUAUUGCAAAAUACCCCGCUGUUAUCUCCUGUUAAAUUAACUUGGGUUAAACGUGAGUUAAAUAUCUACCACAGUUAAAAAAAAAUUAAAACGUCAAUUUUGCCCUUAACUUAAGGGUAAAUAAGAAAUAUUGGUGACGGUAGAGGGGUAUAUUGGAAAAGACCAAAAGUCAAAAUAUUUUUUGUGCCCCUGACUUUAAGGGCAAAUAAGAAAGUCAGUGUUGGUGGAAGGGUAUAUUUGAAAGGGCAAAAUAGUAAUUUUACAGACAUAACAAAGUUAAUUAACAGAUUUUAACUCUAGGGGUAUAUUAGAAAUAGGUUGGAACGUAGAAAAGGUAUUUUCAAUAUUAGCCUUCUAAGAGGGAUAAAUCGAAAAGUUGGAAACUUUUCGGGAGUAUAUAAGCAAUUGCCCCUUUUUUUGUAUGGAUUGUAAGGAUCUUUGUGAGGUUAUUAGAAUUGUAUCUAGAUUAUUAAAAAUUUUGUUCGAUUGUUAUGAAUAGGUUGUUAGGAUUUUUUUGAUUGUUAUAAUUGUAUGUGAUUUAUUGAAACUUUCACUUGUUAAGAUUCUGCAUAGGAAAUAGAAAGAAAAUGUGAAUAUAUAGCACUUUCUUUCUAUAAGGAAAAGAUAGUAAAUGAUUCACUGUAUUUUGAAUUUUAUUAA
rnacentral:lncRNA from 1 species